rnacentral:lncRNA from 1 species
CUUUUUUCAAGUCCAAAAUUGACUAGAAUCUCAAAUGAGCUUGUAACGCCCUAAAUCUGGUACCCGAAAUGCUACAUGGUGCUCAUGACCCUGAAGAACCACAAGCUAACCCAUAACUGAUAUUUGUACUUGUACACUGCAUAAUAUGACAUAAUAAUGCAGAAAUAUGCACUGAAAGGCCAUAAGGUUCAAUACUAAACAUGAUUUGAAUGAUAUAACAUCUGUGUGGGGUAAUAGAAUACCCCAAAACAAAAUUAAACAUACUAAAGUCUAUAACAUGAUAGUCUAGAAAGUCUCUAACUGACUGAACUGUCUGAGUAAGGAGUUGAUGGGACAUGUCCCCAACUAACUCUAACUAAUAAACUAAUUAAUGAGAUAAUAGAGAAAUAAUUAUAUCCUCGGAGGAUGAGGACUCACUGCUAACUCUGACUGCUGAUAUCUGGAAUCUACUGAUGCUCUAGAGCUCGUGUCUCUGAACCUAUGGUAUAAGACACCAUAGCACAAAUGUGUCAGUACUUUGAAUGUACUGGUAUGCAUGUGAGGUAGGCUUAAUGUAUUGGGUUCAUAUGCAUGAACAAUACUGGCUAAAUGACUAAUAUAAAUAUGAGAAUACAUGCAUGCAUACAUAGUCACUAUAUCUAAAGUCGUGAUAACAUGAGUAUGCUGAUGAUUAACAUGACUGAAUUCUGAUAUAUGAUAACAGAGUGACUAUAUCUGACAGUCCUUGAUCUGAUGGAACUAGCUGAGUUUCGUAUUGUAUUUGAGUUCACUGUAUCUGACAGUCUUGAAUUCUAAAGAACUAUCUAAGUUUAUUUACUGAGACUAGUACUGAGACUGUGGUAGGUAGGCAUCUAACCGACAUGCCCCAAAUGAUGCAUUUAGCUGAAUUGGGGUCCAAUCUGUGCCCUGAUUGGAAGGGUGUCAAUAUCGUGCCACUGGUAAGGAAAACAUAUGAGUGACCCUAAUAUACUAGGUAACUCUAAUGAGAACAGUGGGAACCCUCAUAUAUCAGGUUAAGCCACCUCAUCUACCCUCAUAUAGCAGGCUAUGAUGUCUUAACCUAUGCUGGCUACAUAGGUUUGGAAUGCAAGGAUUGCUUCUAAGAAUCACACCCUCAUAUAACAGGUGAGUUCCCAGCCUUGGGUUCACUCGGUGCUAAUUUCUACUCCCAUCUGAAUAGACACUGAACAUGAUUUACUGAACUGAACAUGGACUGAGUUACUGACUUACGUUGACUGAUGGAAUACUACUGACUUCUAGCAACUGACUGAGUUCAUGAGAUCAUAGAGAUUUCCUGAGUCAUAAGACUGUCUGAAGUCUAAGGAUCAUAGCUUGAAUGAGAGUAUCAUGGAAACAUGACAUGGCUCUAGGCACAUAGCUAAUAUUUCGGGUAAAAGUACACCCAGGACUCGAUGGAAAGAAACUGACAAUGCAUGACCUACUUGAACACAUCACUAACAUCAUAAUCCAUAAUACAUUUAUUGAAGCAUUUCAUCAAACAUGUGAUCUGCAUAAACUUGUACAUACAUGGGGAUUUCAUGAUAUCAUGCUAGUUGGGCAUUUUCCUUCAUCUAGGCAUUUAAUCAACACAUGGUAGGCAAAGUAUGUGUAAACAAAAUUAUACAAUAGUUAAACAUCAUGAUUCAAUUAUAAUUUCAACAUUCAAGGGUUUAAUCAUAGGUUUACAUGAAUCUACAUCUAUACUAAUCAAAUCCACAUAAAAUUUAUCCCCCAACAUAGAAUAGAAUUCAAUUACUCAUUAUCAACAUGAACAAGAGAAGCCCAAUCAUGAAAUUUAUAAAGGAAAUCCAGAAACUUAAACUUUGAAAAGAGAUUCUUAGACUUCAUGGACGGAAGGAGUCCAUGAAUGAACACUAUGCAUACCUGUGUUAAGUUUCUUGAAAUUCUUGAACUUGAAGAAUUUGAAUCUCUUAAUUCUUGAAGAAGAUUUGGAUUUUGUUCUUGGAGAUUAAUGUUAGAGAGAAAACCCUAGUUUUGUUGUUGUGAAAGAAUAAUGAAUUUUUGAGCUUUGGUCGGAUAUAAUUGGGUAUAUAAAUGGGUGGUAAAAUACCAAAAAGUCCUUUAAUUUACUGAAUCGGGACCUACGACAGCUCGUGCGACAGUCCAUUAUUUCGACUGUCGUACGUGGAGCAAAAAAAACUCUUACUGCCUAAGUAGUGAUGGCCUGGACGAUGGACCGUCUAACUUCGCACCUUAUCCAGAAGGUUGCCUCACUACCUUGGCUGUGAUGGUCAAGGCGACAGUCCAUCGCUAGGUCGACGGUCCGUCAACCUGGCCGUCGCACCUGGGUGAUUCUGAUAACUCUGAGUAAAACGUCCAUAACUUCUUACUCCGAUACCGGAUUUGGAUGAAAUUUGUAUCGUUGGAAAGAUAAUUCAAUUUCCCACAUGAUAAAAGUAAAAAUCUUAAAAUAACAUAUGUACAAAAGUGGAUUCAUCUUUCAAAGAAAGCUUCUAAUAUUCUUGGGACAAAUUUCAAGCUAGGAAAAAGUAUGAGGUAUUACAAUAUCUCCCCCUUGAGAACAUUCGUCCUCGAAUGAGACUGAGUGAGAGGAAAGAAUAACCAACGUACAUACUAAACAUGAAUACUAAAACAUGAUCUCAUUACUGACAUUACUGAUAACUGAACAUGCAUAUCUGAUGCAUGUGUGACUGAUUCAUGAAUACAUGACUGGGUGUUCUGAUGAACUAAGUUUCUCACAAUGAGAAUGCAUGUCUGGAUCAUAAUUAUAUAACUGAGCUGAUACAUAAAUGCAUGACUGAAUAUACAAUGGUAUUUAAUACCAAGUUUGUGACGAACACUGAACAUGAACUGGGUAAGCUUAAGUAGAACUGUUACCUUGAGCUUGAUCUGAGUCGGUGGAGAAGAGGUGAGGAUACUUGGUAUGCAUGUCUGCUUCUAUUUCCCAAGUAUCUCCCUCGACAAACUGAUUUUGCCAAAGAAAUUUAACUAGAGGGACUUCUUUGUUCCUCAGUCUACGAGUCCGAUAGUCUAGGAUUUUAACUAGAAUCUCUUCAUAAGAGAGGUUAUUCUGAACAUCGAUGCUCUGAAUAGGGACUACAACUGCUGGGUCACCUAUACAUUUCUUGAGCAAAGAGACAUGGAAAACUGGAUGAACUGAGGCUAGAUCUAAAGGCAAUUCAAGCUUAUAAGCUACCUUGCCAAAGCGACUGAGAAUCUUGAAGAGACCAACAUAUCGAGGACUGAGCUUUCUCUUCUUGCGAAAGCUCUUCACUCCCUUCAUGGGAGAGAUCUUUAAAUAUAAAUAUUCACCAAUCUCGAACUCGAGAUCUUUUUUACGAACAUCUAAAUUAGACUUCUAUCAGCUUUGAGCAGCCCGAAGUCUUUCUCUGAUCAACUGGACUUUCUCUAAGGCAUCGAAUACCAAGUCAGGCACUAAAACUGAGGCCUCACUAACUUCAAACCAACCAAUUGGAGAUCUACAUCUCCUACCAUAGAGAGCUUUAAAUAGAGCCAUCUUAAUACUAGAAUGAUAGUUGUUGUUGUAUGCAAAUUCAAUCAAAGGCAAGUGGCCAUCCCAACUUCCCUUGACAUCAAUUGCACACGCACGUAAUAUAUCUUCUAAAGUUUGAAUGGUCCUUUCUGCUUGACCAUCUAUCUGAGGAUGGAAGGUUGUACUGAGAUAAACUUAGGUACCAAUACCCUUUUGGAAUGCUUUCCAGAAAUAAGAGGUGAACUGGGUACCUCUGUCUGAGAUAAUAGAUAGCAGAACACCGUGCAAUCUGACCAACUCCCUGAUGUAGAGUUUGGCAUAAUCCUUGGCUGAAUAAGAGGUAUGAACUGGAAGGGAAUAGCUGAUUUGGUCAUUCUGUCUACAAUGACCCAAAUUGAAUCAUGUUGAUGACGAGUUUGAGGCAAACCCAUCGCGAAGUCCAUGUUCACUUCUUCCCACUUCCAAGUAGGAAUAAUGAACUCCUACAUAAGACCACUAGGCUUCUGAUGCCCUAUCUUAACCUGCUGACAUAUAGAGCAAUUAGCCACAAACUCUACAAUAUCUCUCUUCAUCCCACUCUACUAAUAAACUUCCCACAAGUCGUAGUACAUUUUGUGGCCCCUGGAUAAAUAGAGUAGCGCGCACCAUAUGCUUCUGCAAGAAUUCACUGCCUUAAGUCAUCUACACCUGGAAUACAGAGAUGACCCUGACAAUGUAAAACACCAUCUCUCCCUUAGGAGAAAACCUCUACUUUCUAAUCCUGAACUAACUCUUUUAACUUGACAAGGCUGGGAUCUUUAUCUUUCUUUUCUUUUACCUUGGAAACUAGAGAUGAUUCUGAACUACUCUGAACCCAUAUAUCACCUCAUCUGUAUCAACUAAGCGAAUGCCUAGUCUGGUAAGCUGAUGGACUUCCUAAGCUAACUUCUUCUUACUGUCUUCAACAUGAGCAACACUACCCAAAAAUAGUCUACUGAGAGCAUCGGCCACUACGUUGGCCUUUCCCAGAUGAUAAAAAAAAUUCAUGUCGUAAUCUUUCAAGAGCUCUAACCACCUUCUCUGACAAAGAUUGAGAUAUUUUUAAGAAAAGACAUACUGAAGGUUCUUAUGAUCCAUGAACACAUCUACAUUAACACCAUAUAGAUAAUGUCUCCAAAUCCUCAAGGCAAAUACUAUGGCGGCUAACUCAAGAUCAUGAGUAGGAAAAUUCUUCUCAUGGGUUCAAGCUGUCUGGAGGCGUAGGCUAUGACCUUAUAUGCUGCAUAAGGACACAAUCCAAACCUACUCUGAAUUCAUCACAAUACACUACGAACCCAUCUGAACUAUCUGGUAAUGCUAGAAUUAGAGCUGAGGUAAGUUGAGUCUUUAACUCCUAAAAACUCUUCUCGCAGGGAUCUGACCACUGAAACUUGACUUUCUUCUGAGUCAAUCUAGACAUAGGGGAUGCAAUAAAAGAAAAUCCCUCAAUAAACCAUCUAUAAUAUCCAGCCAAACCCAGGAAACUCCUGAUAUCUAAUAGAGAGACAGGGCGAGGCUAGUUUCUUACUGCUUUAGUCUUUUAAGGAUUUACUCUAACGCCAUCACCGAAAAUGAUAUGGCCAAUGAAUGCUACUGACCUUAGCCAAAACUCACACUUACUAAAUUUGGCGAAUAGCUGAUGAUCUCUGAGAGUCUGAAGUACUAUUCUGAGAUGGUCUGCAUGAUCUCGCUCACUGUGGGAAUAGACUAGAAUAUCAUCUAUGAAGACAAUGAUGAACAUGUCCAAGUACUGCUUAAACACAUGGUUUCAUCAAGUCCAUGAAAGCUGCUGAGGCAUUGGUGAGACCAAACAACAUGACUAAAAAUUUAAAGUGACCAUACCGAGUACAAAAAGCUAUUUUUGAAAUAUCACAUUCUCUGACUCUGAGCUGAUGAUAACCGGAACUGAGGUGUAUCUUGGAGAAAUAGCUAGCACCCUGAAGUUGGUCAAACAAUUCAUCGAUUCUGGAAAGAGGAUACUUGUUCUUAACCGUGACCUUAUUAAGUUGACAGUAGUCUAUACAUAUUUUGAUAGAAUCAUCUUUCUUGUGCACGAAUAAUACUGGAGUGCCCCACGGGGACAUAUUACGCCUGAUGAAUCCCUUAUCUAAGAAAUUCUUCAACUGUUCUUUCAGUUCUUUGAUAUCUGCUGGUGCCAUUCUAUAUGGCGGAAUGGAUAUAGGCUGAGUACCCGGAAGAAGAUCAAUGCCGAAGUCUAUUUUCCUUUUAGGAGGAAUUCCUGGAAGAUCUUUGGGAAAGACAUCUGAAUAUUCAUUCACCACUGGAACAGAUUCAAGACUGGUAGUUUUAGAACUGGAAUCCUUAACAUGAAUAAGAUAAUAGACACAUCCCUUAAAUAUCAUUUUUCUUACCCGAAGGUAGUAAACAAACUGACCUUUAAACGCUGAAGUACUACCCUUCCACUCAAGGAUGAGUUCAUUUAGGAAUUGAAAUUGGACUAUUCUAUUUCUGCAGUAGACUAUGGCAUAGUAGGAAUAAAGUUAAUCCAUGCCGAGAAUGACAUCAAAAUCAAUCAUCUUUAAUUUGACUAAGUCUGCUGAAGUGACUUUCUGAGAUAUCAUAACUGGGUUGAUCCUAUAUACCCACCGAGCUAUGAUAGUUUUACCCACUGGGGUAGAGACUAAAAAGGGCUCUGCUAGAAUUUUGGGACCGACUCCGAAAUUGACUGCUAUAUAAGGAGUGAUAAAAGAAAACGAAGCUCCUGGAUCUAGCAAAGCGUAAGCAUGCACAUAAAAGAUCUGUAAUAUACCGGUAACCAUAUCAGGAGAAUUUUCCUGAUAUUAUCGAGACUGAAGAGCAUAGAGACGAUUUGGGUGUUACCCACUAGUGGCACUAGAGGUGGCACCCUGCUAAUUUGGGCGACUAGACUAAGCUGAGAAGCAAUUUUACUGACCCUAAGGACCUGGCUAAGGACAGUCUCUGACUUUGUGGCCUAGCUUGCCACAUCCGAAAAAAAUACCACUGCCAGCUCUACAAAUACCCUGAUGGUGCUUGCCAUAAGUCUGGCAAAGAGGAUAGGUGUGGGCACUGCUAACACUGCCCUAGGACUUAGAGACUGGCGCUCUAUCUUUACUACCUUCUCUGAACUUAGGAACUGGAGCACUGGCUGAACAAGGAGCAGGAAUUGAUGACUUAGGACAAAACUGAGAACGAUUUUCUCCUUCUGACUUAGGCUGAGCAAAGUUAAAACUACCUGUCUUCGCUCUCUUAUUCUACUUCUCCCUCAUCUUAAUCUUAUGCUCUUCUAUCUGCUGAGCAUGAGUCAUGAUCCUGGCUAAAGUCAUGUCACUAUUCAACAUGGCGGAUCUGCACUCAUUAACCAUGCUAUUGUUCACCCCCAAAAUAAACAUACUCAUCCUUGCCCUACUAUCUGCAACCAUAUGAGGGUCAUAUCUGACUAAUUAAGUAAACUUAAGAGAAUACUCUUUCACUGUCAUAUUGCUCUGCUGAGGUUGAUAAAUUCUAGAACCUUAACUUCUCUAAGAUCUAGGGGAAAGAAUCUAUCAAGGAACGUUGAAGCAAACUCCUCCCACUCAAUUGACCCUACAUCGUCUGGCCUCUCUGACUUCCAUUGCUUGAACCAAGUAUGAGCCACAUCCUGAAAUUGAUAUGCAACUAGCUCAGCACUCUCACUAGACGUAACCCUAAUUAUGUCUGUAACCUUAUGCACCUGAUCUAGGAAUUCCUGAAGGUCCUCGUCUGUCUUAGACCUAAGAAAGAAUGGAGGAUUCAUUCGGGUGAAGUCCUGAAUCCUGGAUGCAGCUGAAUUGGCCACUGGGUUGGCUGGAAUGAUAGCUGGUCAUUCAUUCUAAGCAGCAACUGACUGAGAAAGAGUAGUAAAUAUGGCCCUGAACUCUGCAUGAGAAACAUGUUCGUCCAAGGGAUCUUCUUAGAUAGGCUGGGUUCUUCUCUUAGGAGGCAUGUUCUGAAAUAAGUAGAAGAAAUGGAUUAGACUGAUAUAUUAGAUUGAGAUUAUGCUCACUGGCAUAACAUGAAUACUGAAAGAAGGGAAACUUGUUCUAAAACAUUUUAUAGCCUCUUGUACAUAAAUGUGGCGCGCAACACACACAUGUACAAGACUCUACUAGAUGCGGCUUUCAAACUUCCUAGGACUCUAUUGAACCUUAGGCUCUGAUACCAAGUUUGUAAUGCCCCAAAUCUAGUAACCAAAAUGCUAUACGGUGCUCAUGACCCCGAAGGACCACAAGCUAACCCAUGACUGAUAUUUGUACCUGUACACUGUAUAAUAUGACAUAACAAUGCAAAAACAUACACUGAAAGGUCAUAAGAUUCAAUAUUGAACAUGAUCUGAAUGAUAUAACAUCUGUGUGGGGUAAUGGAAUACCCCAAAAUAAAACUAAACAUACUGAAGUAUGAAAUAUGAUAGUCUAGAAAGCCUCUAACUAACUAAACUGUCUGAGUGAGGAGUUGAUGGGAUAUGUCCCUAACUAACUCCAACUAAUAAACUAAUUAAUGAGAUAAUAGAGAAAUAAUCAUAUCCUCAAAGGAUGAGGACUCACUGCUAACUCUGACUGCUGAUAUCUGGAAUCUACUGAUGCUCUGGAGCUCAUGUCUCUAAACCUAUGGUAUAAGACACAAUAGCGUAAAUAUGUUAGUACUUCGAAUGUACUGGUAUACAUGUGAGGUAGGUUGAAUGUAUGGGGUUCAUAUACAUAAGCAAUACUGGCUAACUGACUAAAAUAAAGGUGAAAAUGCAUGCAUACAUACAUAGUAACUAUAUCUGAAGUCGUGAUAACAUGAGUAUGCUGAUGACUAACAUGACUAAUGACUGAAUUCUGAUAACUGAUAACAUGAGUGACUGAUUUAACAGUCCUAGAUCUGAUUGAACUAGCUGAGUUCUGUACUAUAUCUGAGUUGACUAUAUCUGAUAGUCUUGAAUUCUAAAGAACUAUCUGAGUUCUUUUACUAAGACUGAUACUGAGACUGUGGGAGGUAGUCAUCUAAUCGACAUGCCCCAAAUGACGCAUUAUAGCUGAAUUGGGGUCCAAUCCGUGCCCUGAUUGGAAGGGUGUCAAUAUCGCGCCACUGGUAAGGACAACAUGUGAGUGACCCUAAUAUACCAGGUAACUCUAAUGAGAAUGGUGGGAACCCUCAUAUAGCAUUUUAAGCCACCUCAUCUACCCUUAUAUAGUAGGUUAUGAUGUCUCAACCUAUGUUGGCUAUAUAGUUUUGGAAUACAAGGAUUGCUUCUAAGAAUCACACCCUCAUAUAACAGGUGACUUUCCACCCUUGGGUUCGCUGGGUGCUAAUUUCUACUCCCAUCUGAAUAGACACUGAACAUGAUUUACUGAACUGAACAUGGACUGAGUUACUGACUUUUUUUGGCUGAUGGAAUACUACUGACAUUUGACAACUGACUGAGUUCAUGAGAUCAUAGAGAUUUCCUGAGUCAUAAGACUGUCUGAAGUCUAAGGAUCAUAGCAUGACUGGGAGUAUCGUGGAAACAUGACAUGGCUCUAGGCACACAGCUAAUAUUUCGAGUACAAGUACCCCCAGAACUCGAUGGAAGGAAACUAACAAAGCAUGACCUACUUGAACAUAUCACUAACAUCAUAAUCCAUAAUACAUUUAUUGAAGCAUUUCAUCAAACAUGUGAUCUACAUAAACUUGUACAUACAUGGUGAUUUCAUGAUAUCAUGCUAGUUGGGCAUUUUCCUUCAUCUAGGUAUUUAAUCAACACAUGGUAGGCAUAGUAUGUGUAAACAACAUUAUACAGCAAUUAAACAUCAUGAUUUAAUUCUAAUUUCAACAUUCAAGGGUUUAAUCAUAGGUUUACAUGAAUCUACAUCUAUACUAAUCAAAUCCACAUAAAAUUUAUCCCCCAAUUCUAUGACUCAUUAUCAACUUGAACAAGAGCAUCCCAAUCAUGAAAUUCAUAAAGGAAAUCCAUAAACUUAAACUUUGAAAAAAGAUUCUUGGGCUUCAUGGACGGAAGGAGUCCAUGAAUGAACACUAUGCAUACCUGGGUUGAAUUUCUUCUUGAACUUGAAGAAUUUGAAUCUCUUAGUUCUUGAAGAAGAUUUGGAUUUUGUUCUUGGAGAUUAAUGUUAUAGAGAAAACCCUAGUUUUGUUGUUGUGAAAGAAUAAUGAAUUUUUGAGCUUUGGUCAGAUAUAAUUGGGUAUAUAAACGGGUGACAAAAGACCAAAACGCCUCUUUUAAAAUGCCUUUAAUUUGCUGAAUUGGGACCUGCGAUUGCUCGUACCACUAUCCAUCGCUAAGGUGAUGGUCCAUCAUUUCGAUCUUCAUACGUGGACAAAAAAGAGGCUUACUGCCUAAGUAGCGACGGCCUGGGCGACGGUCCAUCACAAGUUCGAUGGUCUGUCAACCUGUCCAUCGCACCUUAUCCAGAAAGUUGCCUCACUGCCUUGGCUGCGACAGUCAAGGCGACGGUCUAUCGCUAGGUCGAUGGUCCGUCAACCUGGUAGUCGCACCUGGGCAAUUCUGAUAGCUCUAAGUAAAAUUCCCAUAACUUUUUACUUCGAUACCGGAUUUGAACAAAAUAGGUAUCGUUGGAAAGCUAAUUCAAUUUUUCAUAUGACAAAAAGUGAAAAUCUUAAAAAUAACACAUGUAAAAAAGUGGAUUGAUCUUUCAAAGAAAGAUUCUAACAUUCUUGGGAUAAAUUUUAAGCUAGAAAAAAGUACGGGAUAUUACAGAGCUCCCUGAAUUUCAACUUAAUAAUCCUAAUAAGUGCAUAUCCUAAAAUUAAGGAGUUAAGUUGUUAUAAUUAAUGCUCAAAUUCAGGAGGGUAUAUUCUGGAAUGGUCCAAAAUCAUGUGAUUCAUGAGGAAUUCUUGAAGUAAUCCACUAAAAAGGAGAUAGAAUAAUUGAGGUUUCAAAAAGUUCAUCGUUAGAAAAAAAAAAUCUAAAGAGAAAAAUAAAAUAUAUUUGUAUGAGCGAAGGUUAUUUCAUUCAAAUCUAUCAAUUGUAGAACUUUUGAUUUAGUGCAUUGAAGCAAUACAAGGAAAGAACCUAUGCAAAGUAUAAAGUAAGAAAGAGAAUAUCCACUACAAAAACAUUAUAAAGAGUCAAUAUUUACUUAGAAGAUUAAACAAGCAAGAAAAAAUAGACUUAAAAGCAAAUUGUAAAAUCUUCUUCUAUGAAAAAAAAUAUAGAUUAAAAAAUCAUUAAUAAGAAUAAAAUUGAACUCAAAAUCAUAAAAUAAAGUCUUUGAAAUUCAUAGAGAAGGCAAAAGGGUGGUGCUACAGAGAAAAUGGUAAAAAUAGUAAAAAAAAAAAAAAUAAAGCAAAAAGAACGUGAAGAAUAAAAAGAAUUAAAAUAUAAUAUAAAUAUUACGAAAAAGAAUAAAGUAGACAUAAUAGUUUACACUGAACAUGCUACUUAGGUGUAACAUCUCCAGAACGUGAUAAUUUCUUCAAAUUAAUGUAUUUUAAAUAAUUUUUUGUGUUUCUCAUGAGUUUUAAGUAGGUAAAAAUAAUUUUUGUCAUGUCAUAUUUCAGGGUAAUGGUUCCAGAAAGUAUGAUAAGAAGGGGCAUCUCCACGGAUACAGGAGUCCUUUGAUGGAUUAAGCAAAGUUCAAGCCCCCUGCAAUCUAAAAACCUAAACGUUGCUAGAAUUUUAAACCAGAUGCAACACCACCAUUGAUAGCCAGUUAGGCCACUGGGUUGGCUAGGUUUUUUCUCUUACAUCCCCAAAAUAUUUUCCUUCUCUAUAUUAUCCCAAUUCACCUAAAAAUUCUAUUUUGCCUAUCAAACUUAAGUUUUUGCUUAAAAUACCGCAAGUUAUGAAUCUUGUAGAUAGCACAGCCAAAACUAAAUAUGCCAAUUUAAUGAAAGAUAAUAACAUUAAGUUACAAGGUAAUAAAGGAAACCCAAUUUUUAUAAGCCUGUUUUUUUGUUGAUAGAGUUCCUCGUGUUACAUGGAUGGGGGAGAAAGGGGAGAAGAUGAAUAUUUUGAAAAAUUAACAAUUGGCUAUAGUUGAAAAAAAAAAUUAUGAAUGGCCUGAACUAGAUAUUAGAGAACACAAAUUCCAGAACAAUGUGGUAUAAAGAGAGACUGUAAAAUUGGUCUAUUAAGGAAUAAACACAUUCUCAUGAGAUUUAGCUAGAUGGAGGACUUUGUGAACAUAAUGGCUAAAAAUGUUUACUAUAUUAUUACCAAAGAUAGGCUUGCUUAUCAGAUGCACCCACUGAUUAAUGACACUUAGGUUAGGAAAAAAAAGAGAUAACGUAAGCAAUAGGUGGAUUUCUUUCCUAGACCUGUUACCCACAUUUUUAGAUGAAGAGUCACUUUUUUCAAUAGCAGUUAUUGUAGGAAGACCAAUUCAUCUUGAUAUGGCUACAAAUGAUAAAACACGACCUAGUUGCAUAAAAGUAAAGGUUCAAGUGGACCUGGUAGAAGACUUACCUAGUCAUGUGGAGAUUAAGGUAGUGAACAGUAAUAACAAUACAUCCAGGAUUGUAUCUAUCAAGGUUUAAUAUGAUGUGUUGUUAAAGUAUUGCAAAACAUACAAAUUUUAAGGACAUGAAGAAGAGGAUUAUCAAGUACUACAUCCAAAAUUAAAAGAGAUUUUUGAAGCAAGUAAAAAGGAUGGCAUCAGUAAUGAAAAUAAGGAUGAAGAUGGAGCAUAAAAUCAAAGAGUUUUUAGGAUAGGCAGGCCACAUGAAAGAAGGUGGAACCCCACUAAUAGAAAAUUCAAAAAGGACAAGGACACUGAAGAAUAUUUUCUUGACACUGUGUUGGAGACAACAACUUCUACAAAAAACAUUAAUCUUGAGAAUGCAUUUGACAUUCCGUACGAAAAGGGAGAACAUGGCAGUGAGUUAAAAAAGCAUUCUAGCAUUAUGAAAAAUAGUAAAGACCAGAAAAAAGGAAAAAAGAUGAAUACAGGUACACACAAUGUUCAAGGAAGAAAAACACAAAUGGGAUAACUUGAUUCACUGGAAAAGAAACAACAACAAAAAACUAAUAAUCUUACAAAUAGCAACUCCCAAUAGAUGCAACAAUCUGAAACCAGAACUACAAAGUAGGGCCUUCAGUUCAAUGGAAAAAGAGAGAACAUAUACUUAGAUGUGCUAUCUGAUAGUCCAAAUACAUUACAAUAUGAGGCAUGAGAGACAGAUUUAGAAAAAAGAAAAAUAUGAUUGAUGUAUUGGUUAUUGAUAAUGACCAAGUUAUUGAUUUAAAGAUAAUGGAGGUUGUAAAUGAAAUUGUUUUAAUAAAAGAAAGGGACAAAUAGGUAAGAAUAGUUAAUAAUAAAGAUAAAUAUGUGAGUUGUGGUAGAUGUUGAGAUGAACAGUGUAAUAACUACUGACAAAUAUGAGAAAAAGAUGGAGAAAGCAUUAGCAAUGGCCAUAAACCACGAACCUCUACAGAUUGAUGAAUCUAAUGUUGAUUUAGCAGAAGAUAAUGUUACUGACAGGUUUUCUUCAAAACUUUUAACAAAUAAUAAUGCAGUGCUAAGUGAGACCAAGAGACAACAAUAGAGUAUUGUACCUACAACAGUAGAAGCACAAUUAAAUAUGAUUUAGCAAAAAGUUUCACCAAUGACAAUGUUACAUAAUAUAGUCUCUCAUCAAUUAAUUGAAGAAGAUGCAACACAGACUAGUAAUACAUUAAAUUAUACGCUUAUAGAGGGUAAAAACAAUAGAUUAUAGAAAAUAUGGAGAUUGAACACUUGGCUAGAACAAGACAUAAUCAUGUUUCUUUACUAUUGUCUUGUUGAGAGCAAUCCUAUCAGUUAUAGGACUUUUAGAUUUCUUAAGUUUCGGACAAAGAAAAAAGGCUUCAGAAAUGUGGUACAACAAAAUUGGAUCUCUAAAUAAAUAGAUUAUGCUUUUAUUGACAUUAAAGUAAAGAUGAAAAGACUAAAAUUGCAUUAUCUUUAUAUAGCAGAGAGAAACAUGGGAUAUCUUCAAGAAACUAAAAAUUAGAAAAGAUAUUGUGAGAAUCAAAGAAGAUUUGGUUGAGGAAAUCCCAGCUGCAGCCAAUAGAAGUAUACUUUAGAGAGCUCAUGCUGAAUUAAAAUAGUACAUACAUUAUGAGAAGGAGUUUUAGAGGCAACAAUUAGGGAUAUAUUGGAUCAUAAAAUGGGAUAAAAUACUAAAUUUUUCCAUAGCAUGGUCAAUAGAAGGAUAAAGACUUACAAUUAAUAUAAUUAAGAGAAUUUAUGGGUAUUGGGAAAAAACAAUGAUCAAGUAGCUGAGGGAGCCAGUGUUUUUUAUUAAGAGCAAUUUUCCUGCAGUGAAAAAAGAGUUAAAUUUGAUUAAUCUAAUCCCAAAUUUAAUUUCUGCAGAAGAUAACUCUGUUUUAAAUGAAUUGACACCUGAUGGUGAGGUAAAGAAGGCAAUAUUUUAAUUAAAUAGGGAUAGUGCUAGUGUCCUUGAUGGAUUUAUUAGACACUUAUAUCAUACUUGAUAGGAAAUUGUUGGGGAAGAUGUAAUUAAGAUGUUGCAUACCCUUUUCUAAGGUUUCUCUCUUCCUAAAUCUAUUACUCAUACUAAUUUGGUCUUAUUACAAAAAAGGGUAUAAUCCUUUUUUGAUAUGAGGCCUAUUAGUUUGAAUAAUUUUCUUAAUAAGAUUAUCUCUAGAAUAUUGAAUGAUUGGUUGGAAGGAGUUCUACCUAAAUUAAUUUCUCAAAACCAAUAUGGGUUUGUGAAAGGUACAAGCAUUACAAAAAAUGUCUUACUAACGUAAGAUAUUAUUAUUGAUAUCAGGAAAAGGAGCAAAACAACAAAUGUGGUGAUCAAAUUGGACAUAAAAAAAGCAUAUGAGAGAGUAGAAUCAAAUUUUCUUGUAAAAGUAUUUGAACAAAUGGAUUUUGAUAAGUUGUUUGUUGAUAAGUUUUGGAGACUUUUUGCGAAUAAUUGGUAGUUUGCACUCAUUAGUGAACAAGCUCAUGGGUAUUUUAAUUUCUCAAAGGCAGUGAAGCAAGGGGACACUUUAUCACCAGUUCUUUUUAUUCUAGUUUCUGAUGUUCUCUCCGGGGCUCUUAAUAAUUUGUUAUUUCACAGAGAUUUUCGGGGGUUUGAUUUACCAUAGUGGAAUGAGAAUAUAAACCAUCUUUGUUAUGCAGAUGAUACAAUUAGAUUUGUUGCUGCUGAUAGAUUAUCUUUAAACUGAUUAUGAAGAUCCUUAAGGAAUAUUAAAAAUAUUUAGGCUAGAAGAUUAAUGAAGUUAAAAGUGUAUUUUUUGUUCACACAAAAAGCAGCUUAGACUCAUAUUCAAGUUGAUAAAGCGUGCACUAGUUUUUCUAAAGGCAAGUUUUUUUGACUUAUCUAGGGUGCUCAAUCGGAUAGCAAAAGAAAAAGUCACUUUUCAGAGUUGGUUAAGAAGGUACAAAAUAAAUUGCAAUUGUGAAAAGGAAAUUGAUGUCUUUGGGGAUAAGGUUGUUUUGAUUAACAAUGUUUUACUAAGCAUCCUUGUAAAUCAGUUGUCAUCCCAUUAUUCCUCUUAAAUAUGUUCUUUAUGAUUUACAUAAAAUCUUUGCUAGAUUUUUAUGAAAUUUUAAGGAGGUGGGUAGGAAUAAGCAUUGGUUUCAUGGUCAAAAAUUUAUUUGCCAAAAAAUAAAGGAGGUUUGGGCUUUAAAUCUUUAUUUGAUACUGCAAAAGCUUUAUUUACAAAAUUAUGGUGGAUAUUUAGAACACAAAAAUCUCCAUGGAUAAAUUUCAUGUGGAAUAAGUAUUGUAAAAAUUUUAGACCCUGAGUGGUAGAAUGGAGAGGGGGUCUCGAACUUGAAAGUUCAUGCUGCAAUAUAGGAAUAAUAUUGAUCAAGAAAUAUAGUGGGAGCUAAAAUAUGGUCACUCUAGCACCUAAUUUGAUAAUUGGACCCAAUUAGAUGCUUUGUAUUAUUACCUACUUGUGAAUUUCAAUAUGAACCUUUAUUUUGAAGAUGUGAAAUAACUUAACUCAUAGGAAAGAUGGAAUUGUAACUUAUUAGGUUAGGUUGAGGAUAUGAGUAAUCAUAUCAUGAAGAAAAUUGGGGUUGUGGAUAAUACAGAGGAAUAGGACAAGGCAUGAUGGAUGGCUCACAAUUCAAGAAUGUUCAAAGUAAGUCUGCUUGGGACUUAUUGAGAAUUCCAGAAAAUGAAAAAUAAGAAUUCAAGUUCAUUUAGGAAAAAGGGAUUCCAUUUAAGGUCUAUUUUAUUCUAUGGAGACUAUGGAAAUAAAAGGCUCCCUAUUGAAGAAUUUCUAAUGAAGAUAGGUUUGGAGGAAGUGAUAAGAUGUUGUUGUUAUGAUACCUUAACCAUAGAAUCUUAUUAGCAUUUAUUCAUUAAUUGCUUAGUGGAUGUCAGAAUUUGAAAAUCUUUUGCAGCAGUUGCAGAGUUGCAGGGCCUAUUUAUUCAAAUAAAAAACAGUAUCUAUAAAUGGUGAAAUGUUAAUUGUGUGGCCAAAUUGAGCCUUUUAUAUAAGAUUUUCCCUACUUUAUUUCUGUAGAAAAUUUAAAGAGGAGGAAUAUUGUAAAACAUGGGGCAAGAUUUCUAAAUACUAUAUGAUAAUGGAAAUUAACAGAUAUCUUCAUUACAUGGCACUUACAAGGUAUUCUUGGUUGAGGAAUAUACCAAAAAAUAGGCCUAUUCUAGUGAAGUUCUUUGAAGCUUAUAGUCCAACCAUUGAAUACAAAGUAUUAGGGCGGAGUUUUUCAAAAGAAGAGACUUACAAGUGAAACUCAGAUGAAGCACCCAAAGGUAAUUCGAUACAUAAUGCAAGUGUUUUUUAUAAGGAAUGAGGUUGGAGAUUUCAUUUAUGCAGAAUUUUCAAGGAUGGGAGAUAUUACAAGUUUAGAGGCUAAAAUUGUUGCUAUGAGAUGUGGACUGGAAUAUUGCAUUGAAAAUAAUUUAUUAUUAUGGUGUUAGAAACUGAUUGUAUAACUCUUAAGAAAAUUCUUGAUGGGAUUGGAAAUCCCAUGGUAGUUGGCUAUGAAAAUCAAGAAAAUCAGUAGUUUAAGAGAACAAGAAUAUAGAAGUGAAGCACAUAUUAAGGGAAAAAAGCAUGGAGACAGAUUUUUGCUAAUCGUAUUUUCUUUUAUGAUGGUACCUAAAGAUUAAUAUAUGUCCAUUUUCAGGAUGUACCCGAUAAAAGAAGAGCACUAAAAAGCAUGGAACAAAGUCAACUACCAAACAUAACAGUGACAAAGUGCCAAUAUAGGAAUUUUAUUAUUUAACAAUAAGAUAAGGCAGGCAAGAAUAUUCAUAUGCAAAAUCAGAAUACUAGGGUAAGCAAAGAAUCAACAUGACUAUAAAUACACAGUUGAACAUAAAAGUGAAAAGAAUUUGUGUGUACCAAGUUUAACUUCGAUUUGAGUUAGCACUGUCUUUAGCAAUGGUAUCAGCUCUUCAUGAGCUCAACCUGCUGAGAGUUUUAACUCAGAAAAAAGUUCAAAGCAUUGAAAAAUUUCUACUCAAAAGCUUAAAGAGUGUCUACUCAUAUUCAUCAAAGCAUGGACUAAUAACAUCUUCUAUGGAUUCUAAGUUUGUAAAGCUCAUCUUGCAGUUAUGAAAUUCUUAAGAAAUGCAUAGAUCAAAUUGGGCUCAUUAGCCAAGAGUAUGGAGAAAUUGUUUAUACCUGUGUAUUUUUUACCAGAUCUAUCAUAGUAGAGGUUCAAAGAAGUCUUCAUUUGGAUUGAAUUUCAUGGCAUUAGUGAGAUUUGCUGAAUGUCUUGGGAGAAAUCAAUCUAAAUCCCAAUUUUUGAUGGAUUCAGACUUAUAAAUUAUAAGGGAUAGAUGAUUUCUCUUAACACUCUUCUACUAGAACAUUAAACUUCGCUAAAUAGGAAGAAUCAUUUGAAAAUGAAGUUUCUCGAGAUCGCUAUUUAGCUGAGGAUGGUUCUAAGUGCUACUUUUCUUUUUCUUCUUUCCUUUUUUGGCCAUAGAUUAGAAUAGAUUUUGUUUAAUUUUUUUAUCUGGAUCGGAUAUGAUAGUUUUAGACCUGUCUGGUUGGGCUCACUUUGUACAGACUUUUUUCCUUUUUGCAAAUAAAUGACCUUUGCCUAACUUUAAUUCAAAAAAUGGGUAAUGAUUCUAUUUAAACAAGGAUGGGAGUAAGAGAGUGUGUAAGUAGGUUUUUAGAUAAGUUUAAAAGGCAACUUACAUUUUUUCCCUAUUAAACACAAAUAAAUCCCAAAUAAAUAGGACUAAAGUGUCCAAAAAAUUGGUCAUUUGAAUGUUGGAAUGAAAAAGAAAGAUAGAUCAAUUGUAUUCUCCCCUAUUAAACACAAAUAAAUCCCAAAUAAAUAGGACUAAAGUGUCUGUAGAGUUAAAAUGAAUUACUAAUUUAAUAUUUUAAACUUAAAGUUUAUAUGUUUGAAAACUAUAUGGGAAAUACGAGACGUUGUAAUCCUUUUAUAUUGAAAGAAUGAAUAAAUAUAUCUUCAAAUAUUUGGUCAAAAUUCGUAUAAUUUGCCUCUCGAGAAACGAACUGUAACAAGUGAAAAUAAAUAAAAGGAAUAGAAGUGAAUCCAUAUUUAAAAAAAAAAAAAAAAAAAAAAAUGUUUUUGAACUUUUGGGGCAAACUGAAAUAUAAAACUCUAUGAAAGAUGUCAGGGCGCUCUCUAAAAUUCAAUUUAGGUUUGACAGUGGAGUUUCUUUUUCCAAUAUCUCAUACCUGCAUCAAUCAAUGUCUUUAAUGUACAAUGACAUCUUCUCUUCUCUGGUUUCUGACAUCAAAUCCUACAACGGCAAAGACCCUCUUCUCCCUUGGCUCCGGUAAGCAUCCUUCAAACAAUACUCUAAAUUCUCUUGAAUCGGUUCUGAUUAUUAGCACGUAUUUUUUGUAGAGGGAUAAAGAAAAUGAAAGAGUCACUUCCUCCGCAGCUGCUUAAGGAGAAACUCCCACGAUUUCUUCAGAAAUGUGCACAGACUUUUGAGACCGAUCGCCGCUAUACUAAUGAUAUGCGUUAUCUUCGAGUCUGGUUACAACUGGUAACUUUCUUUUGUUAGUUUUGUUUUUUUCACUGGAUCAUUCUUUCUAUUGGUGAUCUCGUCUGCCUCUUUUUCUUUUUAUCUGGGGACUGGGGUGUCCUAUCUGAAUUUAUUGAAGAAAUUAUAUUGGUUAUACCUUGCUAAUAUUUAAUACUUCUAAAUAAACGAACAAUUUCCUUGAUUUGCUUUACAUUUUGAGUUAAUAAUUACUCUCAUUCACAUUUGAUUUUUUGUUUGUAUAGAUAGACUACGUUCAUGACCCAAAAGGGGUACUUAAAACCAUGGAGUUGAAUCAAAUCGGGAUAAAAAAGUCUCUGUUUUACCAAGCAUAUGCUCUUCAUUAUGAAAAGGUUAAAAAGUUUGAGGCUGCAGAGAAGAUGUACCAUUUGGGCGUGCAGAAGUAAGUAACUUAUACUCCUACCUAAUUGUGAUUUUAUAUUUAUUGGGUUAUUAGUCUUAAGAAUUCCUUUACUUAGCAUUCUUCUUGCAUCCAAGUACUUUUUUAUUAUAGAAAUUCAGUGAAAGAGCUAUUGACAAAUGCUAUGUAUUGAUCAUCUCACAUUCAGUUCAAUCGACAUUCCAAAUUGUUGUCACAUUUCAAUGGAAAAAAGUCGUCAUUGAUUUGCUUUUGUUUAGGGAUAUCUCAAGAAAAGGGGAGCCUUGGAGCAAUGGUAAAGUUGUGUCUGUGUGACCUAUAGGUCAAAGGUUCGAGUCAUGGAAGCAGCCACUAAUGCUUGCAUUAGGGUAAGAUAGGCUCUAUCUACAUCAUUGAGGUGCAACCCUGCUAAUGCAGGAUGCUUUGUGCAUUGUGCUGCGCCCUUCUUUUAUGUGUAUCUCAAGCCAUAUUACUCUCAAGGGGUAUGUUAACCCUUUUAGAGAACUUAGUUCAAGGGGUAUGUUAACCCUUUUAGAGAACUUAGUUCAUUGUCAUACGUAGUGAAGGUUAGUUAUCCUUCCAAAAGUGCACUGCUAUCCUAGGGUGCAAACCUAAUGUGACCCUCAGCCAAAUUGAUUAUCCUAAUUGUAAACACUUUCUCCUUGAGUUAUGAAUAUUUGAUACGCUAGAAGGUCCGGUAACAGUUUGUUUCCUACGGCCAAUGUUGUUGGGGACAUGACAAGCAGUAAUAGCGCAGGUGUAUGUCUUUGCACCAUUAGUUUUGGCAAUUUAAGUUGAUUCACUUUACUUGCUUCUUAGGAGGUUAUCUGAACUUUCUUGUGCAAAGUUGCACUAUUGUGUAUUUUUUUAGAUAUGUUUUCAAAUUCUAAAGCAACAUUAUUCCAUAGAGCUAUUUAGAAGAGAAGUGCCAUCAGGUGCACAAUGUUAUUUCUUACACCUUUUCCCUCCAUGAGUUAGGGAUAUAUGUGUGGCUUUCCUUUCUAUUAAUCCUUUUCAAUUGCAGGGCCCUGUUAUCAGAGUCCUAACAAAUUGUCUAUUCUUUUAAUUUAUGGAAUCCUUUUUUCUUUUUAUCAUUAUCUGAUUGCAACAACUUAACUAGGUAAAACCCCCUUUCCCGUUGCUUAAUUAUUUAAAUAGUGUGACCUAGUUUAUGUUGGUUGUGUCUUUUUCCACUAAACGCAUGGCAGUUAUGGAAACAAGUGUUUUCAAAUGUUGCUUAACAGAUUUCUAUUUCAUUCUUCAAUGAACAGGCUUGCUGAACCAUUUGAUGAUUUACAUAAUUCAUAUGAGCAGUUCCUUCAUCGCAUGGAGCAGCGUAAGAAUAAGAGGAUACAGGUUGGUUAUAAUGGUCAUAUUUGUCUAUCAAAUAUCUUCCUUUUGCUUAUAUGAGCCAUUAACUAAUAAUAGAAAUACUCUCUGCAGCGCCAGGAAGGGAAAAAUAAAAUAUAUUCUCUUGGUGCUAAAAAUAUCACUUUGACUAACAAUGAGAUUAAGGAAAAUAAUGAGAAUUUAAGUGGAAAUGAAAACAAUCCCGUCAUCGCCAGGGAUCAGUUACCCAAUGUACGAUCCAAGCAUUUAAAUAUGAAAAAUGAGGUUGCCAUUUCACAGGGCUCCAGGAGAGAGUCGCAAAUGAACGAAACUACUCAUGAUGGUCCAGCCCUUCAGAAGGAACUCAGGAGUGACCUCAGGCUAAAAAUUUGUGGUGGAGACACUGUAGAAGCAGAUAGAUGCCGAAAGUUUACUGGUGAAGACACAGUCGUAGCUAAAUUUGUAGGUAAUGCCGUUGUUGGGAAGUCUGAUGUCGAAGAUGCACGACAUCAUGGUCUGGUGGAACCUACCAUUAAUACAAAGGAGGCCAUACAUGCCAUUAAUAGCAUGUUUCGAGAGCCAUUAGAGCCAUCUCUUGCAGACAAACAUUCGCGUAGAAACCAGCCAAAAGUUGAUCAGAGAUCAAACAAUGGUUUUGAGGUAUUUCUUGACGAAAACACUGAUAGUGCUGCUGGAUCUUCUCACCAAGGCUUGGCAAAUGGUUCAUCAGUGCCACAAAGCAACAGAGUUGAGACUCAAAAGCCCAUGCAAGAGCCAUUUCAGAUAUAUACUGAUGGUGACGACACCAGUGAUGUGAGAGAGGGAGUUCAUCAGAUGGAUAAAUUGGAUACUGGUUGUACUAUUGGAGAUGGGAUCGUGAAAGGUUUUGUUUUUCCAAGUCCAACUGAUGUUACUUCAGAAUAUUCUAGAGAUCCAAUUGUUGAAAGGCCUCCUCAAGGAAGACUCCGUAGGGAGGACACGGUUGUAUAUAAAUUUGUUGGUUCCACCAUUUCAGAAGAUUCAGCGGUUGAAAAUGUUUGCCAUCAUGGCCUUGUAGAACCAACAAUUAACUUGAAGGAGGCUAUGGAUGAUAUUAAUAGCAUGUUCGGAAGGCCAAUUGAGUUUACAAGGAAAAGCAAGCCGAAGAAGCAGGGAUUAGCUCCUAAGAUGGAGCGAGAUGGCAGUAGGUUCAUGAUACUUCCAGAUGAUGAGCCACACCAUCAACCUAAGAGUUCCCCGCCAACUUUGUCUUCAAAAAUGGAUUAUGACUUGUUUGAGAAAACUAUGUGCACACAGGAGGCAAUGGAUGAAAUAAAUAAAAUGUUUGCAAUGCCAUUGGAUUUCUAAGAUGCUGGUAAAGUCUUAUUUUUUCUUUCAAGCUUUUAAUUUCUUCUCUAUUUUCUUUAUAUAUAUUAUCCUAUAUAAUAAGUCACAAUAAGUGGCUGAAGCAGACUGCUCAUGGUCGACAUGCCUGCUUCAGCUGCUUCAACUGUGAUUUUACUAUAUUACUCCUAAUUAAUUUGUAUAAGUCAUUUAUGUAUUAAAAAAUUAAAAAUAUUUAAUAAAAAAUUUAAAAUAGACAUUUAUGACAUGACUUUUUCAGCUGCUUCAACAGUGAUUUUACUAUAUCACUCAUAAUUAAUUUUAUAAGUCAUUUAAGUAUUAAAAAAUUAAUAAUAUUUGAUAAAAAAAUAGACAUAAAAUAAUAAAUUAUUUUUUGAUGUUUUUAUAACUGAAUGUAUUAAAAAAUUAAUAAUAUUUAAUAAAAAAGAUAAAAUAGGCAUAAAAUGAUAAAUUAUUUUUUAAUGUUUUAAAUUAACUUGACGUCUUAUAUGAGACCACUUAAAAAAAAAUCACGAGUAUUUACUAUAAUAAUUUUACUAUGUCACUUCUAAUGAGUAGAAUAGAAGAAAAAAUAUUAUAAAUCACAAUAAUUAAAAACUUAGAUUAUUUGAACAACCUAAAAUAUUGUUAUACAAAUUUCAUCAAUCUAAAUAUAAUAAUAUAUGCCUAACUUAGAAUUUAUCAAUCAAACAAAUGAAGCUUUUAAUUAAAUGAUAGAAUUGUAUAUAACGUAGAAUUUUUAAGGUUCAACAUUGGGCCGUGCGUAGCACGGCGUCAACCGACUAGUAUGUUCUAUAUUUUGUGGUGUAGAUGCCUACCAUUUGGGGGGGAGCAGUUUUAAUAUGAAAUACUCAAUUAUGAAACGGAGCAAAAUGUUAGCGAAAAGGAAAAUUUAUGCUCAAGACUCUUAUGAACACACUAAACCAGUAAAAAGAUCAAAACGUAAAAGUACUUGGUGGAAAUCAAUUAAUAUUCUGGUUUAGGAGGCAGUAAGCUGGCCGGAAAGCGAAGGGGCCUGCAGCAUAAAUUACAGCCUCAUAAUUACUCCACCUCAAUUUUUUGUCUAAAAAUCGGAGUCGAGCACCGGUGAUUCCAUAGUUGACAUUAGUGAACACACUGCAGUUUUCAAGAGGAGAGCCGACCAGUUUUACGCGGCAUGAAUGUAGAGGAUGGUCAAGAUAGGAAUGUCCCAUUUUGAAGCCAUCCAGCGGUGCAAAUAAGUAGCCAUUUUCAUCUGUUUUAAAUGCCUUGUAGAAGCUCGUUCUUUUCAUGUAAUUUUUGCAGAUAACACUAACUUUAGCUGCUGCAAUGGACUUAGCUCCUGACAGAGACCAUGAUCCGUAGUUAUCACAGCUCUGGCAGUAGACCAUGCCUUCAACCACCACUUGAGCAGUUUUCUCUACAGACUUGGCUGGCACGUUGUCAUAGGCGGUCAUCGGUGGAAAGGCUAAUGCAAGGAGCAACGAGGUGAUCAGGACAAGUUGGCUGCUUGCCAUUUCUUGGAAAAUGUUGAGCUUAUGUCAGUUUUGGAAUGUUAUUCUGCUUCGAGGUCAAGUUCAUCUGAGUUAGAUUCCUAUAUAUAGUUUUUGUCAAGAACGUGAAUGCUACUAAAUCAUGUUUGUUGAGUGCGUAUUGAUCAUCAAUAGUCUCCAGACGUGGUGACCAUCUUCAGCAGUUCAUAUUUUGUAUAAUAGUUUAUGAGCAUCAAUCUGUUGUGUCCACUAUAUUCUUCUACGUGCAAAUUACUUACCCUUCUAUUCCUUCUCCUACUACUGUUUGUACUACUCGGGCACUGCUGCCCCAAUAUCAUGUAAUGAAUACUAUUAACUAUUAAUAAAAGAAAAAAUUAUCACAUAUAUAAUUAUUAGAUUGAAAAUUAUAAAUUUUAGCAACACUUUUAGAUAAAUGCAUUAAUGACUUUUUCAUUGCAAGUUAUAGCAACUUUUUAAAAUAAAUAUUAUUUUUAUUGUAUUUUUGAAAUUUAAUUUUUAAUUAUCUAUUUUAAAAUUAAUUCCAUAUUUAUAGGGUUGUAAUCAAUUUUCUCCUGUUUAUUGAUAAUUAUGAUAAAAAUAUAUUUAUAUUUUAUUUCAAAAGUUUACCUACUUUUCUGAAACAAUCUUAUUAAAAGAAGAAGUUUAUUAUGACGUAAAAAACUUUUUCAUACUCAAGCUACAAAACUUUAUUGAAACUCUUUUCUCCAUUAACAUAUUCAAGUUUUUUGUUGAAAAAAACAUUGGGGUUUACUAUCUUUUUUUUUUUAAUCUGUUUGGGGUUUUUCAUCUUUCAUUGUAAUAUGUCUGAAUUCAAAUUUGAUUUCACUCCUUCGUUUGAUUUAAGUUGUUUCACUCCAUCUCCUCUAUCUAAAUGUAAAAAUAGAUUGUUGAAAGUGGGUCUUACAUCAAGAAGUAAAAUCAGUGCUUGCCCGAUAAAAUUAAAGUUUCGUUUGUUGGUGAACCAUCCAAGAAGCUCAAUUUGAACAUGCAUAUUGAAAAAAAUCUCAACAAAAAGGUUAUUACUCCUCAAGAUAAGAGAAAUUAUAAGAGAAAGAAUAUGGUUAGUGAGCAAGUGUCAGACUCCGAUUUUGAGGAUGAGACUCCAUUACUCAAACCCCAAAAAAUCAAGUGUGGACGCAUACACAGACAUAGAUAUUAUAUUUUGAUGUUUAAUUAUUUGGUUAUUACUGUUUGUUUUUCUAAGAUUAUUGGUAUGAACAAAGUUUAGUUUUUUUAUUUAAGUAGUAUUUAUAUAAUGUUAUGCUACUUUAACAUUUGUUUCGUAUUUUACUUCGUUGAAUGACAUUGAUAUGAACUAAGUUGCAUCAAAUGGUAUUAAAUUUGAUAUCAACUACAUCAAAAUAUAUAUUUUUUGAUUCUGCAAUUAGUAACAUUUGACAUGAAUAUUAUAUUUUGAUGUUUAUUUGUGGUCAUUACUCUUUGUCUUUCUAAGAUUGUUGGUAUGAACAAAGUUUAGUUUUGGUAUUUAAAAUAGUAUUCAUAUAAUGUUCUUCAUCUUCUUCUGCCAGAAAGCAAACACCAAUAUAAAUCAUGGCUAAUACUGAUUAUUUUUUUAUUGCAACUAAAAAUUAUUUGACAUCAAACAAUUAUCAAUUAAUUUAUUUUCAACAUGUAUGGUGAUAGUUUUUCAUUUAAUAUCCAUUACAUACACUAAAAAGGUUAUGUAACAUAAAAUAUAAUUUUUUUUAUCGAUUGUCACAUUCAUAAAACUCAUUCAAUACAAAUGUAUGUGACAUAUGCGAAAAUUCACCGAUAUCAAUUUUAAUAUCAAUUUAAUACAUUGAGAACUCAAAAAAAAUCUACUUAAGUAUGAAAUGAGUAUAUAAACUGGUCUCAAUGCAAUUUAUUAAAUAAUUCAUGAAUAUUAUAUUGUGUACUAUACUAAUUUCAUACACUAGUGUCAAUGUGAAAGCAGUUAUGUCCGUUCCAAUACAUAGGUCGUUAACAUUUCAAUAACGUAAUUUUAUAUCUCAAAAUAAUGUUCUUUCUGGAUUCAAGUAUGUAUAAGUUAUGGUAUACACUAAAGCUAUUCAAGUAAGCCUGUCAAACGGGCCGGGUUGACCCGACCCAACUCGACCCAAACUGGCCCAUUUAAUGAAACUAGCCGGGUUUGACUCGGCCCAGUAAGCCCAAGGGCUUUAGGGUACUGGGUCCCAGGCCGAUUUUCUUUUGUUUUGGCCUGGUUAAUCCGGCCCGGACCCAACCCGGUUGGGGCCCGCCGAUUAACCGACCCGGCCCAAUUUUUUUUUAAAGAAAAAAAAAUUGGAUUUUGGGCCAAACUAGCCAUUGGCCCAACGGCUAUAUAGCCGUUUUUGGAUCCAAAUGGCUAGUUUGGGCCCAUUAAUUAAAAAAAAAUUUACUUUUUAAUCCCAAAAAAAUUUCUAUAAAUACCCUACACCUUCAAAUCAUUUUUCACACAAUUUUUAAUUCUCUCAAAUCUCAUUCUCUGUCAAAUCUCAAUUCUCAAAUAUUCUAUAAAUUUAAUUUCCUAAAGUGCUCACUUUAAUUUUUAAAUUUUGCGAUUACAAAGUACGAGUGGAAGUUUCUAAAGUCGCAACCUUCGGAUACUUUCAAAAGUUGGUAUUGUCGUUCCAUCUCUUACUUUUAAUUUUAUUUAGUGUAUUAAUUGUUGAAUAUUUAAUUUUAUUAUAUUUGUGUAUUUUGAAUAUUUUUAGUUUAAUUUAUAUUAUGGAUAAAUUAAGAAACCUCGCUACUAAAGCUGUUAAAAAAUUUUGUCCCGGAAGUGGUAGUGGUAGUAAAAAGCGAAUUACUAGCGGUAGAGGUAGUUCAAGUAGUAGAUAUAUCUGUGUGCUUCCGACACCGCUUAGUCAACCUUUUGAGGAAGAAGUAGGUGUACCUUUANNNNNNNNNNNNNNNNNNNNNNNNNNNNNNNNNNNNNNNNNNNNNNNNNNNNNNNNNNNNNNNNNNNNNNNNNNNNNNNNNNNNNNNNNNNNNNNNNNNGAGGUGCAAUGCAAUAUUUAUCAACAAAUAUAUAAGCAUAAAAGCGGAGGCAAGUAAGGGGGUACGGGUACGUUAAUGAGACAUAUAGGUGAUGCUCACGAAAGAGAGUUAAAUAUUGCAUGAGGUGGUGGGGAUGUUGGUUGGCCAACGCAAAUGGACCCAGAAACCAGUCAGGUAACGAGGAAAUAUAAUAAAUUGAGGGACCGGAAAGAAAUAGCUAAAAUAGUAGCUGUGGGUUGAUUGUCUUUCAGUUUUACUUCUUCUGAUGCCUUUAUUUAUUAUAUUCAAGCAAUUUAUAACCCUAUGUUUAAUGGUGUUCCUAGAAGUACUUGUCGAUCUGAUAUUUUUAGACUUCAUUCACAAUAUUAUUUUUAUUUAUCAACAUUGUUAAAAGAUAUUCAAUGUAGAUUGUCCCUAACUUCUGAUCUCAGUCGUGCUGUAAAUAAAAAUGAUUAUUUAACCGUUACUUAUCACUGGAUGGAUAGUAAUUUUGUGAUGCAAAAACAUAUUCUUGCUUUUUUAUAUGAUGAAGAUCGUAAACAUACUGGAGAUUUUAUUGCUGAUUCUAUUGUUCAAGUUGCCGGAUUUUAUGGUAUCGAAAAUAAAAUUUUAUGUAUUGCUUUUGAUAAUGCUUCUAACAACAAGACUGCUAUAAAAAAAUUAAAAUCUAAGCUAUCUUCGCCGUUGACUGAAAUUUUUCAUAUUAAAUGUGCAUGUCCUAUAUAUAAUUUAAUUGUAAAAUAUGGUGUUGAGCUUUUUGACCUUUAUAUUGAAAAAAUUCGUCUUGCUGUUUGUUUUAUUCAAGAAAAUAAUCGAAGAAAAAGAAUUAUAGAAUUUAAAGUUAAAUGUCAAGAAAAUGGACUUGCAUCGAUAUAGAUGCCUGAGGAAAUUGUUAUUAGAUAAAAUUCUACGUAUAAUUUUUUAAAAAUUUGUUAUAAAUAUAGAGUUCCUAUUACACUGGCUUUUAAUCAACAUUGCAAUUCAUUUACUGAUUUUUCUGAUUACAUGCUACAUGAUUCUGAUUGGGUUGUAAUUAAUGAUCUUGUUAAGUUUUUAUAAAAAAUUUAUGUAGCUACGAUUGAAUUUUCCGGUGCUUAUUAUCCUACUGUUUGUAACAUUUUGGCAUAUAUAGCCGAUAUUUCUGGUUUGCUCAAAGAAUAUAAAAAUAAAGAAGGUUAUAAAGAAGCUGUUGGUGCCAUGUUUACUAAAUUUAAAAAAUAUUUUUUUUCGAUUCCACAUAUUUACUUGGUUGGUGUUAUGCUAAAUCUGUGCAUGAAAUAUAAUACUAUAUGUCACUUUAGUACUAUUAUUUAUGCUAAGUUAGAAAUAAAUACUAACAAUGAUUCUAAACAAGAACAACCUGAUUUGUGGACGGCUAUGGGUGAUGCGAAUGAAUACAUAGAAAAAUUAUAUAAUCACUAUGCUGAUUUAUUUUAUUUAGCCGUACCUACAAAUAUCACUCCAAAUGUCGUUCCUCAUCCUCCCAAGGAGCCAUCAUAUUCUAAAAGACCGGCACAUAGUGGUUUUCCUGAUUCCUUUUAUGAUUUACCUUGUUGGAACAGUGCUGAUAACAGAUCUUACACAUCAACUUAUCGAAAAGAGAUGAAAUAUUAUCUUCGGUCGCCGCCAGAGGAUCGCGUACGACGGAUCAACACAUUGGAUUAGCGGAAGAGUAAUGAAACUUAAUAUCAUGUGCUUUCAAGAUUAGCUGGAGAAUUCUUGAAUGUUCCAAUGUCAACCGUUGCAUCAGAGAGCGCCUUUAGUCAAGGACGACAGCAGCUUAGAGACAACCGACACUCAUUGGAAAGAAAUGCAAUGAAUAUUCUAAUUUGUCUCAGAGAUUGGAUUAGAGCGGAAAGAAGAAACCAAGGAAUGAAACCGGAGCCGAACGACGAGCUGAAACUUGAAGAAAUUAUGUCUUCACGGGGAAGCUCAGCAGAAUCAAGUCCAAUACAUGGUUUUGCCCCUGUUGACUUUGACUAUCCUAUGCAAGUUCCCGUUAAUAUUAACAUGAAUGAGUUGGAAAAAAUGAUGCAUAAUUUGUAGAUUUUUCAUUCAUGUAAAUUAUAAAUUUUGGAUCAUUUCGCAAUCAAUAAAAUUCAACAUUCAUUCACUCCUUAGUCCUUACUUUGUAAUUUUUUUCAUUUAAUGAUUUAAAUUGAAUUUCUACUUUAAAUUAAAAACUUACUUCUAAUAUAUUAUUAAUUUACUACCAAGUAUUAUUAAUUUAUUAUAUUAAGUAGCAUAUGUUUUGUAUAUUUGUGUAUAUAUCUUCUAUAGAUGUGUAUAUUUAAUGUAUACAUGUGUAUAUGUUUUAUAAAUUGCAUAUAUAUUGCAGUGUGUGUGUAUAUACAUACAUACAUACAUACAUACAUACAUACAUAUAUAUNNNNNNNNNNNNNNNNNNNNNNNNNNNNNNNNNNNNNNNNNNNNNNNNNNNNNNNNNNNNNNNNNNNNNNNNNNNNNNNNNNNNNNNNNNNNNNNNNNNNNNNNNNNNNNNNNNNNNNNNNNNNNNNNNNNNNNNNAUAUACAUAUAUAUAUAUAUAUAUAAUAUAUAUAUAUAUAUAUUGUAGCAUAUGUUUUAUUUAAAAUGGUACAUAUAUAUUAAAUGGUGCGUAUAUGUGUAUAUAUAUCUUCUAUAGACAUGUAUAUUUAACGUAUACACAUGUAUAUGUUUUAUAAAUUCGCAUAUAACUAUAUAUAUAUAUAUAUUGUAAUGUAUAUAUAUUGUAGUAUAUUUUAUUUAAAAUAGUACAUAUAUAUUGAAUGGUGCGUAUAUGUGUGUANNNNNNNNNNNNNNNNNNNNNNNNNNNNNNNNNNNNNNNNNNNNNNNNNNNNNNNNNNNNNNNNNNNNNNNNNNNNNNNNNNNNNNNNNNNNNNNNNNNNNNNNNNNNNNNNNNNNNNNNNNNNNNNNNNNNNNNNNNNNNNNNNNNNNNNNNNNNNNNNNNNNNNNNNNNNNNNNNNNNNNNNNNNNNNNNNNNNNNNNNNNNNNNNNNNNNNNNNNNNNNNNNNNNNNNNNNNNNNNNNNNNNNNNNNNNNNNNNNNNNNNNNNNNNNNNNNNNNNNNNNNNNNNNNNNNNNNNNNNNNNNNNNNNNNNNNNNNNNNNNNNNNNNNNNNNNNNNNNNNNNNNNNNNNNNNNNNNNNNNNNNNNNNNNNNNNNNNNNNNNNNNNNNNNNNNNNNNNNNNNNNNNNNNNNNNNNNNNNNNNNNNNNNNNNNNNNNNNNNNNNNNNNNNNNNNNNNNNNNNNNNNNNNNNNNNNNNNNNNNNNNNNNNNNNNNNNNNNNNNNNNNNNNNNNNNNNNNNNNNNNNNNNNNNNNNNNNNNNNNNNNNNNNNNNNNNNUGUAAUUGUGUAUAUGUGUAUAUAUUUUUUAAAUUCAAAUGUAGUAUAUACUAUAUAUAUAGUGUAUAUAUAUUUUUUAACGUAUUUAAAAUGUUUAUAGGUGGGUAUAUAUAGUGUAUAUUGAAAAAAAGUUUUUAUUUUUAUUUUUGACUGGGUUUGAUCGAAUUUUUAAUUGGGUUUGACCGGAUUUAGAUGAGUUUGACCGGGUUGGGUUAAGUAGGCAGGGUUAGGAUUGUUUUUAAAAAGUUUAUUGUUGAGACCGGGCCGGCCCGACCCACUUAAACCCAACCCGGACCCGUCCCACAACCCAAAUAAUUUUAACGGGCCGAUUCCGGAUUGACCCGGCCCGGCCCACUUAACACUCUUAAUUUCAAGUGUAUGAUUUGAAUUUCUUUCUGUGAACAUAUAAACAAAGUAUAUGUAUUGUUCACUGUUAUCCUUUGCGUAUCGGAUGUGUUGCAACUAAUUCUAUGUUGCUUUAUGUGUAUUUCUAAUACACCAGAAAUAUUAUAUCGAACUUGAUUCUACUCAAAGCAAUCGGAAUAACAUUAUGAAAAAUGAUUAAUGUAUGAAACAUAGUCGAAUGAUGUUUUUGAUAUUUGAUUUCGUAUGCAUUUGAUAUAUGAAAUAUUGAUUUUCGAACAGUUUUAAAUAUAUUAAAACAUUAAUUAACUUAAAUAAAUCCCUCCAUGCAUUACAAGCAAUAUGUAACAUAUCACCAUCAAUUAGAUCGAUUAAAGAUAAAGUUAUAUCAGAAUUUUUUAAAAAGAAGAAAGGAAAAAUUAGAAGAAAGUGAAAUUUUGAUUAAGGAGAACAAAUUGUUAGUUGAAUUUUGAUUUUGGAAUAAUACAAUAGUUUGCAAAUGUAGUAGUAGAAAAUUACACUUAAAUUAGAAAAUUUUCUAAAAGAAGAAGAGAAACUUUGAAGAAACUAUAAUUUUGAUGAAGUAGUAGAAAUCAUUGAUUGAAUUUUUUUUUUUUUGAAAGAAGAAAUCGUCUUUAUGUUAAUAAAUUUGGAAUAAAAUCGUUUUAGAGAGGAUUAAGGAAUGAUGAUAUCUACCAUAACUGUAAUCCCCUUUUUAUAGGUAUGUAAUAUAUUUUUCAUAUAUUAAAAUUAAUUUUUUCUUAUUUUUAAUCAUUAAAAAAAAUGCUUUUUCUUUUAUAAAUGAUUUUUUCCUAUAACUUCAAAAUUGAAAAUAUUGCUAUAACUUGCAAUUUUCAAUCUAAGAAAUGUUAUUUAGGUUUUUUUUUUUUUUUUUCCAAAUUCCACUUUUACCAAAAAAAAAUAAAAAUACUUACCCUCCUUAUAACAUGUAGGUUAUGAGAGCCAACCUCCUAGAAAAUUUAGUGAGAAGGGCUGAGGAUUACCAUUAUAGUUAGGGAUGUACAGACCAAACCGUCAAGUCAAACCAAAUCGAAGAAUCGAACCAAACUAAAUCGAGAAAAAAAACCGACUUAUGGUUUGGUUUGGUUGGUUUGGCGUUUGAAAAAGAAAAAUCGACCAUUCUUGGUUUGGUUUGGUGUUAACCAAAAAAAAGUCAAACCGAACCCCAAUCAAACCAACAUAAUAUAUAUAUAUAUAUAUAUAUAUAUAUGCAUGUAUAUAAUUUAACUUUUUAUACAUAAAAUAUUAAUUAUAAUCUACUUUUUAAAUACUUUUUCAAUUAGUUUUAUUAAUUUUCAAUAUUUAGAAAGUAGAUGUGUGUGUGUGUAUAUAUAUAUAUAUUUAUUUAUAUUUGGGCCUUUAAGUUGUAAUAUUUAUCCAUUAAUUGCUAAUAAAAUGAUCCAAAAUUCAAUAUAAACUUAAAACCUAAACUUUUCACUCUUCAUCUUAUUUUUUUAGUUUCAAGAAAGUUUUUCGCUCCUCAAUUUUUUAUAAUUGUGAUUUUUCAUUAGCACAUGGGUGAAAAUAUACUUGAUCUAAACUUCAAUUACAAUAUAAUUGUAAAAAAUAAAGAUUAUAAAAAAAAACAAAAAAAAAAACGAAAGGACCGACUAAAACCUAAACCGGAAAAAUCGAUUUUAUGAUGGUUUGAUUUGGUUUAUAGUUUUAAUAAACCGACAUAAUUGGUUUAAUUUUUUUUCAAUAGAAAACCAAAUCAACCCGACCUAUGUACACCCCUAAUUAUAGUUAUCUCAUCUAAAGUGUCAUGCCAAUAAACGAAAAUAACGUUUUUUUUUGUUGGUAUUUCAUAAAGUUAAUCAAAUUAUUAAUUAGUAAGUAAUAUCACAAUAAAGAGAACAAAAAUUAUCUUCUUCAUGAAAUUAUUGUUAUACCAGAUAGAAAAAAUAAUUUUAGUCUCAAGUCCAUAUUCAUACUGAACAAACUAACGCGCACUCGUAUCAGUUCAUGGAGCACCUCAGCAAACAUCGUUGCAAUCUAUCAAUUAUUUUGCUUGUGUAGCAAAUACUAAGGGGUUGUUUGGUUUGAAAACAAGUUAUACUAGGAUUAGUUAUGUUGGGAUAAGUUAUGCUGGGAUUAGUUGUCCUGGAAUAAGUUAUCUUGGUAUUAUUUUUUAGUGUUUGGUUUGUGGUACUAAAAAUAAUAUGUAGUGUAUUAUUUGUAAAAAUAUAUUGUUUGUUUACUAAAAUACCCUUCACUUUAGUUUAACUUAAUUAUUUUUGGUUUCAUUGGGGCUGAAUAAUUUUAAAAUGCACAAUCAAAUAGCAAUUGAGACAAACUAUUUGAAAAAGAAAUUGAUAAUAAAUACAUUUGUCAUUGUUUGAUAAUCACUAUGCUUCACUACUUAACAAGCUUGAUCAAUAUGCUUUUCGAUAAGAGUAUAAAAAUGUAAAUUAGAAAAUGAAAUGCAUGCCAUUCUACCAAUUCAAAGCAACUACCAAAACUUUUUGCGCUCACAAAUAGCAAUUCAUGUGCUAGAGUUCAAUACGUAUGCACGAUAGAGUUGUUUAUAAUGCACAGGUCAAUUCUUCUGGGCUAAAGCAGCUGCAAUUCCACCAACCAAAACUCCACAGCAGCAGUAGCAAUGCCGAUGCCAAUAACUCCAUCUGUUUCAGACAAAGCGAAAUGCAUAAGAACUGAAAUGAGAUACGACAAGAAAUGACAUUGAGAAUUCUGUUUUGCUACCUUUGGUAAUUUUUUCUUCGAUUUUUUUCUUGAGGGUUAAGGCUUGCCUCCAAUCUAGUGCAAUCUGCAAAUUUACUAAUUUAGGAGAAAUGAAAAACUGUCAUGCCAAUAACAAUGACGUGUAGGUAUGUGAAUAAUAAAAGCAUCAGAAUUGCACAAAUGCAGUUCAAGUAAGGAUAUUUUUGUCUUUUUAUAAUUUCAUACCAAGGAUAAAUUAAGUUGGGAUAGUAAUCCCACCAUAUCCAUGGAUAACUUAUCCCGGGACUAAUUAUUAGUCCCGAAAUAAGUUAUCCCAAAUAUUGACAACCAAACGAGUGGUUAAAAUUUUUAUUCCGAAAAUAUUAUUUUAUUCAGAGAUUAUUUACUUUCAUACCGCAAACCAAACGCCCCUAAAUCCAUAAGAUAAGACAUUCUAUACCAGUAUGAAGCUAACAACUUGGAUGCUGGAGACACUAAUCCAAUCAGAAGUUACCACGUAAGGAGUUCGAAGUAUAAUUAGCAAAAUCAUCUAAAUCAGUCCAGCUGUACUAAUCUCUUUUGAGUUUUAUAUUCUUUUUGUUUAAUUAAGUGAUUAUUUCAAGAAAAUUAUUUGUUUUAUUAUUUCUCAUAGUCAAUCUAAUAAAAUAAUUAAUAAAAAGAAAUAUAUAGAUCAAGAUUACAUUUUAGGUGAACCACCACAAAGAUCAAAAAGAAAAAAAGAAAAGACAUCGUUUUACUGAUUAUUUACCCCUUUAAUAAUUUUGCAGUGAAUUAAAUACCACCCUAAAUAUAUAAUAUCACUCUUACCAUGGAGAGUGUAGUAUACACGCCACACAUCAGCGCCACAUCACCGUCAUAUCGUUGCCACAUCACAAAUAAUUUUAAAAAAAUUCUCUCUCUCUCUCUAUAUAUAAGAGAAAUCAAAGGUGAACUACAAAAUUAAAUAUUUGGACUUUUAGAAAACUCCAUUGAUGGAGUUCUAGAGCUCUUUCAGCGGUCAGACAAACUGCUAUUGCGGUAGCAAUUUAUUCUUUUUGUUGUGGCAUUUAUGGUGAGGUGGUGAGCAUUUUCUGAACCGAAUAGAGCUGCAUCAACCUUGCAAUUAUGAGUUUUUCAAUCUCUGAUCAUGAUCGUAAAUGCAAACCUAUAAAGCUCAAAGCUGAAUCUAGGUGGCCGAUUCUAAUCUUGACUAAGCCAUCAUCCAAUGAGUGCUAAAAUACUAAUUAUAUCAAUUUGCAGCUAGUGUGUGUAUACAUAUAAAAGAACACACAUCAAUGGGGGAGCUCGAAUUUUUCAGUGAAUUUUUGCGGGAAAACGCUAUCUCUAUUGACCAAACCAUCAAUCUUUUCACCCCAAGCUUGUUUGAAACCGGCAACCAAACUCAACCCGAUCGAAAAGUACCAUAAAUUAGUAACCAAAAAUUCACAAGAAAAUAUACGUACAAAAUUAAAUCAACACCACCACUACCAUUAACACCACCGUUAAUGACUUUUCUUCAAUUUUAGUUCCAUUCCAACUUUUCAAAUCCACAAAGAUAAAUUUUAAUUUUUCAAAUCCAAUUUCAAUUUUUUUUAAAACUGAUCUUAAGCCAAAUGGUUGAAGGAGGAGAAAUUGGAGGUGGGGGUAGUGGGUUUGGUAAUUGAAGGUGGAAAAAUUGGAGUGGGGGGCUGGUUAUGGUAGAUUUUAGGGGUGUGCAAAAUCGAACCGACCGAUAAAUCGAACUGAUAAAAAUGUUAUUGGGUUAACGAUUUUUUAAUGAUUUUAUAAAAAAAAUUAUUGGGUUAUUGGUUUGGUUCAGUUUCUUCUUAUUGGUUUAUUGGGUAAACCGAUAACCCAAUAAGAAUAUAUAUAUAUAUAUGACUUUUUAUAUAUUUCUCUUUAAUUUCUACAAAUUAAUAAACCUAUUAUUUCAAGUAUACAAACUCUUAAUUUCUCCUAACAACAUUUAGUUCAAACUUGAAGAUUCUUGUAAAUUAAAACGCAUCAUAUAGGAUUUUUGGUUGCAACUAAGAUUCAUUUUUUUUUUCAUGUUAGUUACUACUAUUUCUAUUUUAUGAGUAUUUUCUUAUCCGUUAAAUCAAAAACCGAACCGUUAAGAACUAAAAAUCGAUAAACCGAUAAAAAAUAUUUUAUUGGUUUGGUUAUUGGUUUAACAUAUUUAAAAACUGAAAACUGAUAAACCGAACCGAUAAUAUAUAAAAUCGAACCGAACCGACCGAUGCACACCCCUAAUAGAUUUGAUAGUUGAUGGAGUUGUGUGGUUGGGGUUGAUGGGUUUGGGGGUAGGAAUUAGGGGGUGCGGGCUAUUAGAAGAAGAAGGAGGGGAAUUUUUAGUUUUUUUUCUAAUAUAUAUAUUAGUGGAUUAUCUUAAAAAAAUAUAAUUCACGCAUUUUUUUUUCUUUUUCUUUUUUUUUUUAAUGUCACGUCAACAUUAAGUGUUGAAAUUAAUUCACUAAAAUUUUUUUAAGGAGGUAAAUAAAUGAAAGUACAAGUACUAAAAUAAGUUGAACGGAUAAGUUCAGGGUGAAAAGAUCUCUCUUCUCAAAGUAAAAAAACUACAUCAAAAUCAACAUAAAUCAUUUAUACUAACAGAAAAAAGCAACUCCACACAUGGAUCCAACUCUAACUUAACAAAUCGAAAAGUACAAUUGAUAUUUUUUCUUUCCCAUUCUGUAAAAGUGAAUGGGUGAGAUUACCUAAUUUUAGAUUAUAUCCUCACUAUUAGUUUUAGAUAGAAAUUUCAUCGAUCUAUUUGAUCUUCAGAAAACUUCUCAGUAGACUCAACCUAAUGACACAAGAGUUCAAAUUAUUCACAUUAAACAAGAUAUUCACAUGCAUUAAAAAGUGCAUAAAAGUGAAAUUACAAUAUCAUAUUACUUGAAGGUUUUAUUCCUAAACAUUCAUAAAGAGAUAGCAAUAUGCAGAUGCAAACGACAAUUACUAAAAUUAAAGUUUCAUAAAUUCAGAUAUUAAAGUUGUUUAACAGUUUGAGUAUAACUAAAGAUGUUUUGGAACCUAAAUGUUCCUUAUAUAUAGUAAGGUUUGACAAACUUUGCAGAACAUAACAUUCCAUCAAGCUAUUAGAUUACUUGAAAGAAAAUAGGGUGUUAUUUUGUCAAUAAAUCUUGAACUCUGAGGCUGACCAUAAACUUCGUUAGAUGAGACUGUACAACUUGAAUGAUGAAGGAGUUUUCACGAUAAUUAUCUAAAUCUAAUAAAUUAAUCAAAUAACUCCAAAUAUUAAAUCUAAUAAAUUAAUCAAAUAACUCCAAAUAUAUACUACUUCCGUAACUUUAAUCAACAUAGGUUCUAAUAUCAAUUUUAGGGAGUUGAGGAUAACUUUAAUAGAUCUAUUGUAGAUACGGAUCUAUUUUUAUUUAUGCGUGGAUAUUUCUUAACUUCUCUAAAUAUUUUUAUUUCAUUUAUGUUCAUAUCUUGGGAGUGAUUAAAUGGUAUUUGAUUAAAUAUUUUACUGUAGUAUUCUUUAGUUUUUUCUCUUAGCUUUGUGAUUCUUCUAUAUUAUUAUUUUUGAGGUAUUCUAAAUAAUCUAUAUCUUUUGUUCUAAAAUAUUCAAUUAAAUUCUCUUUCAUAAGCAUUUCUUCUAAUCUUAUUUCUUCCAUAUCUUGUCUCCAAUAUUUUAAAUACUCAUAGUUUAUCAUUUUAUUCUAAAGUAGUUGUUUGUUUACUAAUUUCCGUGUAAUAUUCUAUUCUAAUUGCACUAUAAUUUAUAUCUGAAUUAAGGUUAUUGAUGCUAUUAAUUAUCUCUCUUUUAAUUAUCUCUCUUUCUUCUUCUCUUAAUGAGUUUUUUAUGUUAUAUAAAUAUUAUCUGUUCUUUUUUCUAAAUUUUCUAAGGUUUCUUUUAUCCAUAUUAAUUUUUCUUUUAGAUUUUCCAUUAUUUCUUUGAGUCGGUUUCUAUAAUUAAUUUCUUCAUAUAGGUCACUUUGGUUUUCUCUAAUUUUUNNNNNNNNNNNNNNNNNNNNNNNNNNUCUUAAUAUCUAUAAUUUCUAUAUUUCUAAGUAUAUAUAAGAUUAAUAUUUUAAGAUUAUCUGCCAUUUAAAAUUGGUUAAAUACUUUAUUAUAAUAUUCUUUAGUUUUUUGUUUUAAUCUUAUUAAUUCCUCUAUAUUUUCAUUAAGAAAUCUAUAUAUUUUAUAUCUUUAGUUCUCAUAUAUUCUUCUAAAUUUGUUUUCAUUAGUUUUUCUAUUAAUUGUAUAUUUUUCAUAUCCAUUUUCCAUUAUUCUAAAUAUAUGUAAUUUAUUAUAGUUGAUAUGUGGGUUUGGUAUGUAAGUAUUUAUAAGAGUAGUUAGGUAAGUGUGGUAUAUAAUUAAUUCUAGUCAUAAAAUAUCUAUCAAAUAUUUUUUUCAAUAUGAUUUUUCUUAUAUCUAUUAUUUCUAUAUCCUUAAGUACAUAUAAAACAAGUAUUUUAAAUUUAUCUACCUUCUCGUCAGAUAAAUAAGUAUUAAUUUUUCAUAUGAUGUUUUUUCAAAAUAUUCCCUUCAAUCAUAUACAUAACAAAAUAUGAUCAUUUUAGAUUACUAUAUACUAGAUUAUUCUUAAAUAACAUAUUCUUCGGUCACUAUUAGCAUGGUAAUCUGAAUCCUUUUCCCUUAAACAGUGCCUCUACUCUGGCUACUCCCCUAUCACGGCUUUCUUGCCUCAUCGGUUUUACCUUUAGGAUGACAUAAUUCUUAGAGAUUUUUCUCCUUUUCCACUUUGCUAAUAAACUUCUUAACAUGCUAUUUUUCGAAUAAUUCUACUAUAAAGCAACUAACAUGAACUUAUUUUAUCAUAUUAUGAUUGUUAGAAAUUUAUGAAUUUAGCUAUUCAUAAUCAUAAAUAAAUAUACCUGUUCUGGUAUGUUUGAUAAUUCUAAGCUUUGUUCAUCCAUAGUUUUUUUUUAUUGAAAUAUACAUGUUUUUUAAUAAAUAAUCAAAAUAUUUAUUGUGGACAAGAGAAAGUUUUUGCUUCAACGCAUGAAGGCUUAUCUUUUCUGCCUUCGAUGCCUUCAUUUAUAAUGAAUGAUUUACAUAGUUCUUACUUACAAAUUUUUACACAUUUUUCAAACUUUACAUCCUAUUCUUAUCUUUACAAAAAGUCUAAAACUAGACUAAAAAGUCUUUAUCUACCUAACCUAAUUAUUAUACUUUACAAAAAAGUCUUCUAAAGUAUAAAAAAAGACAAAAACUAAAACUUUACAAUAAUUUACAAGUUACGUAGAAAAUUGUGAAAGUUUGUUACAUGUCCCUUUCACAAUUUAAUAGCUUAUCUUUUAUCUCCAUUAUUGCUUCCGUUGAUAUUUUCUUCUUGUCGUAUCUGCUUUUUUUCUAUCUUUUUUCUAGCUGCCAUGCUUGCGGACUUCUGGGAUAAUAUUAUCUUCUCCAUUACAUCUCGAACAUUGAUGGUCUGAAUAUUUAUGUCCAAUUAUCUUGCAAUAUCUUAUUUAUAAUCCGUCUGAAAUAAAUCUUUUCCUAAUUGCUCUUGCAGUAGAUUUUUUUUCUGGGUUAAGUAACGUUAUUAUUCAUUGUCUAACAUCUUCCAUAUCUACUUGUCGUAGUUCUUUUGAAUUUGAAUAAAUUAUCUGAUAGUCUCUUGAAUAAUAGCUCCAUAUUGGGUUUUCAUUGGUAUAAUUAUUUGCUAAUUCUUGAAUAAUUGUAGCUAGUCCAAUGAGUCGUUUAUUUGCGUAGAAAUCAGGUAUCUUAAUUCUGGGUAUCUCUGGCUGCUGCACAAUAUCUUUUGGUAUAAUCAUAUCUCUGGUUAAUCCUAUUUUUACAACUUGUAUAACUGGUUUGAUCUCGUCGUAUAAUAUCUCUGCUGAUGCAGUAUAACACUUUAUAUAAAAUAGAUUUUCUUUGGUUAUUCUUUUAUAGGUGGUGAAUAUUUUAUGUAAUUCUUACAUAGAUGAUAGUUCUUCUCCGUCUUGGGUAUAUAUGGUAUUUAAUAAUCCAUAGUUAAAACAAGUUUUUAUUAAGCUUGGGUUGGUUUUGGAUAGUACGAUUAGCUUGUUGUAACCUUGUAAUUUUGGGGUUAUAUAGUUUGUGUUUGGUCCUUGGGUAUCUGUAGCUCUGGGGUUAAGAUUUAGAAAAGUUUGUACUUUGUAUAUAUUUUCUAUGUAUUCUCGGGUUAUAUAGUUAUAAGUUUUUUUAUCUUGGUUCAGACUAUCUCGGUAUGUGGUAAUUUGUGGGGGUAGAAAUAAGGGGUCUUUUUGUGUUUUUGGUAUAAAUGGUUUAUCAAAUAUCUUAUUCAUGUUCAUGUUAUGGUAUCUUUGUCUACUAACUCCUUUGCUUGUACCUGCAAUUGUAGAUUGAUAAACGUUAUGGGUUUUAUGGAGUGUCCCAACGUCUUCUUCUAGCUCUGAAAUUUUAAUGUCUUUCGAUCGACAUAGCUCUGUACACUUCUGAGUUAGCUGAUUUUCAGCUCUAGACUUCAGUUUAACUUCAUUAGUCUUUAGCUUUUCUAUUUCAUUACCUAUACUGUCCACCUUCAUUGAAAGCGUAGUUAGGGUUUUAAGUAUCUUUUCUAAAGCAUCAUCUUCUAUUAUAGCAGUCUGUGUAGCUUUGUCUUGAUAUGUAAUCUGCAAUAACGUUUUUGCUAGUACUAAUUACUUCAAUUGUAAAUGUAAAAUUUAAUAUAUUCAAUACUAUAUUAUCUGUUCGUACAAUAAAUUUGUUAUAUACAAUAUAUGGCUCAAAUGAUAAUAAACACUUAUAUAAUGAACAUAACUCUUUUCUAUUUAUUUCCCAUUUUAUUUCUGUCUCGUUGAACGUACCUGAGUAGUAUCUACAAUGAUGUUCUAUUUUUUCUGCUUCAUAUCGAUAUUUAAGUACUCCUCCGUAACUAUAUUCACUAGCAUCUGCUUCUACUAUAUAUAUAUAAACUUUCUAUUUUCGUCUGGAAAUUGUAAUUUUGGUAAUUCUUUACAAAGUAUUUUUAUUUUUUGGACUUGUUUUUUAUCUUCUUCGUUGUAAUUAUAUUCUACUUCCUUUUUUAAUUUUUUCUGUAAAGGCUUUAGGUUUUCUACUAAUUUUGGUAUAUAUCUCUUACUUGGUUUACUAAUCCUAAAAACAAUUGUAAUUUAUUUUUUGUAUCUAAUUCUUCUUUUGAAUUUAUUAUUUUUUGUACUAUAUGUUGUUGCAUUUUUACUCCACUUUUAUCUAUUUGUAUUCCUAAAAAUUCUAUCUGGUUUUUCAUAAUUUCGGCUUUCUUUUCACUUGAACUUAUUCCCGAUUUUUCUAUUAUAUCUGUAAAUUGUCCUAAUAAUUUUAAAUGUUCUUUUUUAGUUUUUGUAUAUAAUAGUAUAUCAUCUAUGUAUACUAUACAAUUAGGUAAUUGUUUAAAAUAACUAUCUAUAAAGUGUUGAUAUCUACUUGGUGCAUUUUUAUAUCCAAAUGGUAAUACGUUUCAUUCAUAAAAUUCUUGUGGUACUGUAAAUGCGAUUAAUUUCUUAGAUUCUUCUUCUAACUUUAAGUGGUAAAAUCAUGAUUUACAGUCAAAUUUACUAAAAUAGUUAUAUCCUGUAUUUGUCUUAUUUUUAAUAUCUUAUUUGGUAUUGGGUAAUUAAAUGUCAUAGUUUUUGCAUUUAAAUUUCUAUAAUCAAUAACAAUUCUACUUUUACCUUUUGUUUGUUCACUAUAUUUAUUUACUAUAAAUGCUAGACUAUUGUGUUUACUAUUACUUUUAUGUAUAUAUUUUUUCUAGUAAUUCAUCUAUAUGCAUUUUAAAUUCUUUUAAAUCGUCAAAAUUAUAUGUUAAUGGUUUUUGAGUUAUUAUGCUAUUUUUAUCUAUUAAUUCAAUUUUUAUAGUAGUUUUAUGUUUUUUCCAUCCUUUUAAUGGAUCUUCACUAUAUAAUUGUCUUAAUUUUUUCUUUAUUAUUCUACCUUAUCUAUUGAAAAUAUAGUUUUUUUUUUAUUUAUCGAAAAUACAAUUUUUUAUAUUUUUUAACUUUUGUGUAUUUUUUUCACUUCCUUCUAUCCAAUCAGUUUUCUUUCUUAUUUUAUUAAUAAUUCUUUUUGCUCUUACCUUUUGUUUACAUGGUAUUGUAAACCAGCAAUCUGUUUUAGUUAUUAUAUGUGGAUAUAAUUUAUCUAAAAAUGACAUUCCUAAAAGNNNNNNNNNNNNNNNNNNNNNNNNNNNNNNNNNNNNNNNNNNNNNNNNNNNNNNNNNNNNNNNNNNNNNNNNNNNNNNNNNNNNNNNNNNNNNNNNNNNNNNNNNNNNNNNNNNNNNNNNNNNNNNNNNNNNNNNNNNNNNNNNNNNNNNNNNNNNNNNNNNNNNNNNNNNNNNNNNNNNNNNNNNNNNNNNNNNNNNNNNNNNNNNNNNNNNNNNNNNNNNNNNNNNNNNNNNNNNNNNNNNNNNNNNNNNNNNNNNNNNNNNNNNNNNNNNNNNNNNNNNNNNNNNNNNNNNNNNNNNNNNNNNNNNNNNNNNNNNNNNNNNNNNNNNNNNNNNNNNNNNNNNNNNNNNNNNNNNNNNNNNNNNNNNNNNNNNNNNNNNNNNNNNNNNNNNNNNNNNNNNNNNNNNNNNNNNNNNNNNNNNNNNNNNNNNNNNNNNNNNNNNNNNNNNNNNNNNNNNNNNNNNNNNNNNNNNNNNNNNNNNNNNNUAUAUAAUUUUCUUCUUGUCCUGUGUUUAAGAGUAUUAAAUAUUCUUUUUCAUUUAUUGUUCCCGUUAUAUAAUAUUGAUUUAAAUUAACUGUUGAAAUUGUUUCAUAACUUGUUCUUUUUUAUGAACUUGAUGAUUCUAGUUUUUCGUGAGUUAUUUUUUUUUAUGUACUUAUCCUAUAAUUUAUUAUUUCUAAAUCUUCUUCUAUAUCUAUAUUCUUGUAACUAUAGUCAUUAUUAUCAAUUGUUUUUACGAAUUGUUCAAAAGGACUUUCUAUUUGUAUUUUAUUAAUUUUAUUUUUUCCUGUUAUUUUAUGUUUUGUUGUUAAUACUUAUAAAUUUUUACAUCUUGCUGUAAAUAUUUUACUUCCUGGGGUUAGUUCUAUUCCUGAUAUUUUCCAAUAUAAUACUAAUGAUUUAUCUAUAUUUUUAUCUAUUAUUGCUACUGAAUAAUUCGCACUUAUUAUAAAUUUAAAUUUUAUCUAUUCCUUCUCUAAAACAUGUUUUUAUUAAUAUCUAUCUCUGUUUAAGGUGUACAUAUUUUAUUGGGUUUUUACUUUUUAUAUCAUUUAUUUCUUUAUUAAUUAUUCUUUUUGUUACUAGCGGUAUGCUAGCUCUUCUCUUGCAUAUCUACAAUCUAUUACAUGUUCUUUUUGACUUACUACGUAGUAUUCUUCCUUUUUUCUACUAAAUAUAUUUUUUAUUAUUGGUAUUUUAAAUAUUUUUUCUACACUUAACUCUAACUCUUUGCCUUUUAUUUCGUCAAAUAUUUUACUGUCAAAUAUUACUUUUUGAUAUGUUCUUUCUUCGUUUAAAUAUUCUUCCUUUGUUAUUAUUUUUAUAUCUUCUUCAGUUAUUUGGUUCAUUUUUAUAUCUUCUUCAGUUAUUUGAUUCAUUUUUAUAUCUUCUUCAGUUAUUUGAUUCAUCUAAUUCACUAUCUAUUUCAUUAUCUGUUUCAUCCUCUGAAAUUUCAUAUAUACUAUCUUCACUUUCUAAUUCAUAAUCUAUAUAAUCUAUCUGCAUAUAUUCUGUAUUUCUAUUGUUAUUUAUGAUAUUUGUUCAUUUUUUGAAUUUUUUUGGUAAUUUACAAUCUCUAGCUAAAUGUCUUAGUUUUCCGCAAUUAUAACAAGUACAUUCUUUAAUAGAUUUCAUUUUUCUAUGUGGUCUUUUAUGUUUAUAAUUUUUUACAUAAUAUAUUUUUCUUGAUUUCUUAUAUUUAUAUUUUAAUUUUUUGUAUAUCUUAUAUUUCUUAUGUCUUUUUCUUUUCUUAUAGCAUCUUUCUUCACAUCCAAAUUGAGGUGUUAUUUUAUCUUUGCAACAUGCUAAAUUUCUUAUUAAUGUUUUUUUCAUUUUUAUUUAUUCUCUAUAUUUUUCACAUAGAUUUCUAUAUCAUUGUUGUAAAAAUGUUAUUCUUGCUCCUAGGGUAUCUACUAUUUUUAUUUCAUCCCAACUCUUUAUUAUUUUUGAACUAAAUGGUUCAGGUAAUUUACUAAAAUAUAAUUUUCUUAUUUCUUUACUUUCUUCUAUAUUAUAUGUUCCUUUAUAAUAAUAUUCUUUAAAUGCGGAAGCGUAUAUUCAUAUAUAACACAUAUUACAUAUUGCUAAUUUUAACAUUAAAUCCCUAUUCGUAUCUUUUUCUUUAUUUUGUUCUGCUUCUUCUGUUGUCAUACUGUUAAAUUCAUCACUUAUAACUAUUUUAUACUUUUUCAAUAUUUCUGUUGGAAAUAUUUUUGUAGGUGUUGAUGUUCCUUCUGUUUUUGUAUCAGAUCUUCAUACUUUUUUACUUGCUUUGGCUAGGUUUAAAAACCAUAAUUUUACUGUUCCUAUUAAUGUCUUUUCUAUAUAUUCUGGUGUGUUUGUUGUAUCUAUUUUAUCAUCUAAUAAUUGUUUUGACAUNNNNNNNNNNNNNNNNNNNNNNNNNNNNNNNNNNNNNNNNNNNNNNNNNNNNNNNNNNNNNNNNNNNNNNNNNNNNNNNNNNNNNNNNNNNNNNNNNNNNNNNNNNNNNNNNNNNNNNNNNNNNNNNNNNNNNNNNNNNNNNNNNNNNNNNNNNNNNNNNNNNNNNNNNNNNNNNNNNNNNNNNNNNNNNNNNNNNNNNNNNNNNNNNNNNNNNNNNNNNNNNNNNNNNNNNNNNNNNNNNNNNNNNNNNNNNNNNNNNNNNNNNNNNNNNNNNNNNNNNNNNNNNNNNNNNNNNNNNNNNNNNNNNNNNNNNNNNNNUUAUUUCUAAUUUUUCUUUAAAUUGAUUUAUCUCAAUUAAUUAUUUUUGUUCUUUAUCUUUUUCUUCUUUUUUUCUGUUUUUUUUUCAUACAAGUCUUUUAGCAUUUGUAGUUCUUUUUCUAAUUCAGCAAUCCUACUAUUUUUAGUUUCUUCUAUUUUUUGUAUUUCUUCUAUAGUUUGUUGUUUUAUUUUAUCUAUUUCCUUUUUUCUAUCUAUCUCUUCGCUUUCUCUUUCUAUUCAUGACUGCCAACUUAUCUUCUAAUUUUAAUUCUUCUUUUUUAAUAUUAAAUAUAAAUGUUCACCUAUUUUCUUAUACCUUCUUCCUAGAUUAGAAAAUACUAUUUUUAUUUUUAAUCCUUCAUGGCUUUCAUAUAUUUUUUCAUCUAUUAUAAAUUCUUCUUUGUUCAUUUUUAUUUAAUUGUUAAUAGAUCGUGUCGGUAUGUAUAUUCUAGACUAUCUAUGGUUGAUUCUAAUUGAUAUUUCUUCUUUUUGUACAUUUAUUGAAUUUUUACUAACUCCAACAAUUAUGUAUACUGUAGUCUUUCUAUCAUUAUUUUUUAUUCUUUACGUUUUUCAGAUAUUAUUUGUUUUAAUUAUUUAUAUUUUUGUAAUUUUGUACGUUAUUCAUUUAAAUAAUUAAUCUUUUGAUGAAUAUCUAAAUCUAAUAAAUUAAUCAAAUAACUCCAAAUAUAUACUACUUUCGUAACUUUAAUCAACAUAGGCUCUGAUACAAUUGUACGGGGUUGCGGAUAAAUUUAAUAGAUAUAUCUUUUUAAACAACAAAAAAUUGAAGAAGAAACUCUAGAACUCCAAAGCAACAUUUGGUGCGAUUAAAUAUCUUGUUAAAUUAAUUUUACAAAUUUUUAUAAUCUGACAAAAAUAUAUUAUAUUUAUUCUUUGUUAGUUAAAAGUUAGGCAAAGUAAACUACUCUUAAAAAAAGACAGGUGAGAACAAAUGGCAUACAUUUGACAUAUAUUUUUUUUUAACACAAGCACAAAUAAAGAUUCUGAAGUUGUCCAACAGAAGUUAUAGCACACCUUUUAAGUUAUUUGACUGGCGGAGUAGACUGUUUUGAUAAAUCUGUGGAAAAAAAAAGUACAACAAAAUCUUAUUAGUGCUUUUCAGAUAUAUGAUCAAACACGUUGGACGUGCACAGUCUGAAACACCUAAAAGUCAAUUAUCCGAACUUGAUCUUGCACAGUAGUACAUAAGAUAAACAGUGUAUACAGUAUAAAUAAUCAAUAUGGAGAAGAAAUUCCUACUACAUAUAUCGAUGCAUUAAUAAGGUUUUAGUUUAACUACCAUAAGUAAUAUCAAAGCAAACGAGGACACACGGCUAAAAUUAAAAAGUCGCCCUAAGCUGAACAAUGUUCACUGCUAAAUGAGUAAAAAAACAUAUCAUAGUUUAAUUUUAAUGAAACUAAUAUAUGUGAAAUUGGAGAGAAAGCUAUUAUGCCAGACAUUAUAGGCAUAAAUGAAAUAACACUUUUCAACCUACGAUUAUUUUGAACUAUGGUCAUUUCUUUUUCGAGGACUCAAAUGUAAAAAUUUAAUCUUUCUUUCUAACACAAAGUAUUUGAGGGACACAGAAAUACAUCUGAAUGCAAAUAGAAUUCAACAACAAUAAUAUACUCAGUGUAUUCCUACGGUAGACAUAUAAUUUUUGACCCUCCCGGAGUUUUAAUUUAUUAUUCGGCAUUAAAUAUUUUCGUUUUUUGUCAAAUAUUCAUUUUUACUUUUUUUUUUUUCAUUUUUUAAUACGUUUUAGUUGAAAAGAAAUAAAUAGUUAGAAUUACAUUUUGAGAUAUUUUUAUUUUUGUUUUUGUGUUUAAAAUAAUACGAAAUAUUCAAAAAUAUAUUUCUCUUUUAAUUUUAAUAAAUAGGUUAGUAGUUUUAUUAUUAUUUUAAUUAUAUUUAUUUUAAAUUAUUUAUAAACUUUUUAUGUAUUUUCUAAAAUAUAAAAAUUAAUUAAUAUUCUAUUAUUAUUAUUAUGUAUUAUUUAUUUAUUAAAAAAAGAAAAAGAAAAAAAAUAAAAAUUGAAUAAUUAUCCUAACCCAACUACCCCACCCUAUCUGUAUCGCAACUUCCUUCAACCUCUUCCCCCAUCAGUAUAUAACUCCCCAACUUUUCCAAAGACUAUGGACUUGGAACAUUAGAAAACAAAAAAGAAGGAACGACGUACUUUUACACAUUAUUUUAUACUGUAUCACACAAAAUCAGAAAAAAGACAUCAGAAAAACAGACACUACAUUAGAAAAAGUGAGAGAUAACCAGAGAGAAAAAAAUUAAUCAGAGAAGAAAAUCAGAGAACACCCCUAAAAACAGGAAGAGAAUCAAGUUUGGUUUCUGUGAGUUUCCAGUGAAGGCAUCCUUAUUUCUACUUUAGUUAUUCUACCUCACAGGUUUUUAUUCAAUCUUGUACUGCUAUUUUUAUAAAUGGUAUUGUGAAUAGAAACAGGAACAAAAUGUUGUUUGAAACGAUUUAAUUUUAUUUUUUAUUUAGAAUUUGGAUUACUUAUGUUGGAUCUUGGUUUGAAGUAGUGUUAUUUUUUCAUCCCGUUUAGUACAUCUUAUAAGUAUAUCGUUGUGUUUCUUGGCACUCCAUAUAGUGUUUUGAAACUUAAUCAGUUUUAGUUGAAACUUAAUCAGUUUGGUUGAAUGAUUAAGUGAGUAUGGUGUUUUCUCGGCACUUCGCAUAGUGUGUUCUUAAAAUAAUUUUUAUUCAUGAAUUAAGCAUUCUAAAAAUCAUGGGAAAUAAGUAGUAUCUCAGGCAAAACAUUCAUGUAUAGCUUUGGGUAAUUUGAUUUUUAAGAUGUUAGUGUUUAGUGCUUGUUAAUAAUUGAAUAACUGAAGGUUGGUAUUUUAUCUUGUUAGUUACAUCAAAUUUUAUAUGCAUUUAAGUUAGUCACUAGAAGCGUAAUUUGAUAUUAAACUAAAUCAAUCAUUGCUCAUAGCAAAAAUGCAAUUUAUUUUUCCGUUAGGUAGAGUAUUUAAGGUUCUUUCUACAUGGAUAUAAUGCUAAUUUCAAGUUUGGUGCAUACUGUACAUAUCUAUUAGAAAAAAAUGUGUUUUAUGAAUUCAUUAAUUAUGUCACGGUUUAGUAACGUUACUAGUGAUGAUCAUAAUUUUUUUUCUGUUGGAAUUGUUUGAAGAUACUCCAAACAUUUUUUAUUUUAUUUUAUUUAAGUAAGACUUGGCUCAUUAAACGUAUAUUUAACUUUGAUAAAGAUAACUCGGGCUUCUAAUUGUUUGGACUUUAAUAUUAUUCUAUAAAUUAACUACACUUAAGGUCUAAAUGAAUUAACUAGAUGGAGUUUAAUUGAGAUGAGUUGUGGAUUUAUUAAAAACCCAUCGCGGAAAAGAAAAAUAAAAAAUAGGAAAAACUCAUUUGUAAGGGAGCGAGAUGAGUUGCGGAAUAAUCCAAAAUUCAUUGCAAAAUAAAGAGAGAAAAAGAAUAAAAAAGAUAAUGUAAAAUUGUUUCGAUUUUAUAAAAGACGAACGAAUGUCUUUUAACGCUAGAUAAGCUUUAGGCAUGUCUAAUAUAUUUGUCUCGACUAAGAAUGCGGCAUACACAUCUUUUCGAGAUGUUUUAAAAUAAUUCGAGAAUGCGAUAUUGUACUUUGAUAAAGAUAGUCCUAAAAUUAAUUUCCCCUAGCUUAAUACAAGAGGUAUGGACAGAUAUUUUUGGUAUAGUAAAAACGAGAAAAUCAAGGCAUUCAAACAUAAUUUAUCAAAUAGUUUAAGUUAAGUAUAAGUUGAUAAAGCGACCAUGCUAGAACCACGGGACUCGAGGGGUGCCUCACACCUUCCUCUCGGUCAACAGAAUUCCUUACCCGGUCUUCUGUUUUCACAGACCAAAAUAAAGAGUCAUUUCCUUUUGAUUAGGGAUUCAAUAAGGUGACUUGGAACACCACAUCUAAAUUUCAAGUGGCGGCUCUGUAAAUAAAAUAAUCCCUAUUCAAUAUCAUCACUUUAAUUGAAAAAAUCCUUCGAUCUCGGCUCUUCAAGCGAAAAAGGAGUGUGAUAUCUUUGGCGACUCUGCUGGGAAUUAAUAAGAAUUCGAGCUUUAAAUAUUGACUUUUACUUACUUUAAUUAUUUUUAUAUUGUGUUUGUUAACUUUAUGUAUUACUUGUUGCUCAUUUUCUUCUUUGAUAUUAUUGAACUGUAUUAUAAACUGUUUUCUCUUGCGCACCCCUCUGAGUCUCUAAAAUAAGAUAGAAGGAAUGCAGCGUAGGUAUUCUACUUUCUUUUUGAGAUAACCGGAGUGUCAAGGCACCUGGUGAAGGAUUAUAGUCACACAUGUUAGGCGGGGUUUGGAUCAAUAAUGAAGACGGAAUAACGUUGAUAUCGAAUAAGUUGUCCCUCCCAGACUCGAGUGUCCGCUUGGGUAAGCUAGUCUAGACACCUAUCCUUAUUAAGCUAAACUUAGUAUAACUGAAACUCAGAAUCUGGUUAUCCCUAUUAGGUUCCGCUUUAUUUGCAUCAUAUGCAUUUGACUUAGCGGGACUCGGCACAGGGGUCGGGUUUGUAUAGGACAGGUGUCCCUCUUUAUAAUGACCAACAUGUGCAUCAUAUGUGCUCUUUGACAUUUAUUUAGAAGGCCAUUUAAUUAUUGACCGGCUUCGGGCGACUUAGAAAAACGUGAGAGAGUAUAUUGUCCUCAAAUUUAACAAAUCAUUUUUCAAAAAAAAAAAAACAUAUACGUAGUUUUUCUUUUAAGUCGUUAUGAACUACGGGGAUCUGAUUCUCACUCUUUAGUGAGAUACGUAGGAAAUCCUUCCCGGGAUACAACCCUGUCUUUAAAAAUUAUUCAUAGAUUUAUUAGAGAAUAUUUUAAAAAUAUGAUUACUUUCAUAAUCUUAUCCUCAAGUUCAAUUUUUAUAUUUAUUUAUAUAUAUGUAUCUUAGUAGCCUUAAAUCUUUAGGGAUCAUGAGGCUAAGGUUUUACAAAAUAAAAAAUAUAUAUAAAUCUUAACAGUCCUGAACCUUUAGGGGUCUUGAGGCUGAGUUUUGUACGACAUAUAUUUCAAGAAUUACGCACACUUGAUUCUCAUCUUAAUGAGAUACGUAGGCAGUCCUUCAUGAAUUUGAUUGACUAUAUAUAUUUUAAUUUUUCUUCAGCAUUUGAGUUGAUGAACUAAACCAGAUAGUUAUAUGAGUGAAAGAAAACGGCUUCUAAAUUUGCAGUAAAAAGGUUGAGUCUCAUUUCCUAUGUACAAGAAUCAAAUGGUGAAAAAAGUAAACAUACGCAAGAGAGAUUGUUUACCCCAAGAUUGAUGAAUUGUCAUGAUAGCUUGAAGCGGGUUCAAAAGAUCAACUGUAUCAACUUUAUGGGGUUUUUACUGUCUAUUACCAUAGAUGGAUUUCCACAACGAGAGGUUGAAAGCAAAAAUGAGUGGAUGGUUAGGAAGACCAAGAUACACAAAGGAUUAGUAAUUGAGAUUAUGGAAGUUAUCCAAGAGGAUAUUUCUGUAAUAGGCAGUCCUUCAUGAAUUCGGUGAUCUUAAAAAAAGGGUUAUCUUUUCUUCUAAACCAAAAAAAAAAGAAGAAAGUUUUGAUCCUUAUAUACAUAUAAAAUAAUAAAACUAAUUUGUUUUCAAAAAUAAUAAUAAAUAAAUAUUAUUAUUUUUUUAAAUAAAUUCAAAAAAUUUGUUUCUCAUUAUUCAAAUAAAAAAAUAUGUUUCUUAAUAUCUCUAGUUUUCAACAACUACGCACACCUGAUUCUCAUCUUAAUGAGAUACAUAGGCAGUCCUCCAUAGAUUCGGUGGUCCUAAAAAAUUUUUUGAACUCUGACACAUUAGUUUUCUCCAAAAUUAAAAUAAUAUUUAGUGGUUGGCUUGUGGCUAAAUUGACAUCUCACCCAUACAACACCAUGUCUAAAUAACAGGCAAGAUGACCCAUAGAAAAUGAUAUAGGGUCUGAGAUGAGUUGGCAUAGAUUGUUAGAAAUGAGGAAUAAGAAGAAAUGGCUUGAAAAGUGAGAAAUUAGGAGCAAAAUAUCAGAAACAUGCAAAUACUGAGAGAGAAAAAGAGAGUUCUCACAAUGAUUUUUACAUGUUUCAAUAUUCACUUACCUCUAAACUCCAAAACACCACAGUUAGAUAUAUAAGAAGGUCAUGGUGAUCCUUUGACUCAUAUGAGAAGAUUUUGUAAUCAAUUAAGAGGAGUGGGGGGAAAGAGAAACUGCUGACGUCUUUCUUUGGAGAGAGUUUAACGGUGAUAAAUUCAGAAUGGUUAGGAAAAAAACAGAUGAUGUUGCAAUGAUGAUGGAGACUCCAUUAAGGCCGACGUACAAAUCAGUGGCUAAAAUAUCAAGUUCGACAAUUUAAAAGUCACUCUGCACCCCAUGACGAAAGAGUUUUGGUAGUCUGUUUUGUUUUUCUUUCUGCUACCAGAAUUAUUUUAAAGUUGUAGUUUGGAAUGUAUCUUGUCUUAUUUUAUUAUCAUUUCUGUCCAAACCCUUCUAUCUUUCUGUCAGCAAAUGUGUCCCUUUUAUUUUUAUUUUUAUUUUUCAAUAUAUAUUGUUUGAUUCUCUUUCUUUUCUUUAGAGAGCUCUUCUAUGGUGAUUCUAGUGAUGUGAUAUGCAUAUUGAAUUCACAGACUGAUCUUAAAAUCUAAUCUAUCCGAAAACACUUGGCCAAGAAGAUAGAGUUCAAAGGAAAAAAUAUAUAACGAAAUAAGUAAAAUGUUGAGUUGUUUGGUGAUCAAGUUAAAGCCUCACUUAAAUAGAUUGAGGUAAUCACUUUGAGAAUAAACAAAUGACUUGGUCAUCAAUGAGAAGAUCCAUCUCAGGUAAUUCAAAUGGAUCAAUCAGAGGUUAUAUAGUCUUCAUUUUUAGAAGAAGUAAAAGGAAUUUAACUUUAAAAAUGUACGAGUCCUUUAAUGGGAGGAAUGUGAAUACAAUUGGACCUUUCUGUUUGACAAGUGCAUAAGAAGUAGUGACAUACGUACUCAGUCAAGGUCAAUAUUGAAAAAUAUAUAUGAUCUUCAUGUUCACUCUCAAAUUGCAUGUUUAGUGCUUACAUUUUAAAGGACUGAUAUGACGAAAACAUUUCAUUCUGCUAUUCAAAUUUUGUGUCAUCCUUCGUUACCCCUUUUGAGCUUUAGUUUUAUUUUAUUUCAUACCCCUCUUUUGGAAUCAAAAUAGAGUUUGAAAAAUAAAAAGAGGAUGUCAAGAAAAAUAGAGUUAGUAAAAUGUCAAGAAAAAAUGAAGUCAGAAAAAAUGUCAAGAAGAAAAUGGAGUCAGAAAAAAUGUCAAGAAGAAAAUGGAGUCAGAAAAAUGUCAAGAAAAAAGAAGUCAGAAAAAAUGUCAAGAAGAAAAUAGAGUUAGAAAAAAAUUAGAGUUAAAAAAAAUCCCCAAAAGAGAGGAAUCAAAGAAAAGAAAAAUAACAGAGCCCAAGUUCGGUUAAAAAAAAAGCAAAAGCAAAAAGCAAGAGAAUGAAUUGUCUGAACUACGUUUGACUUGAUUCUUGCUAUGACAAGAUACGUAGGCAACCCUACUCUGGGUUCGGUCCAACUAAAAAAAAAUUCAAGUUACCCAGAAUGAAAUAAAUCUGGGGCAAAAGUUUAUUUCCUUAAAGAGUACUCCAAAAGUUGUAUGCUUCACUCAAUGUUAUGUAAAAUUUUUAGUCUCAAGCUGCUCUUUCUUUCUAACCCUUUCAAAAAUCCAAGUUACAACCAAAGAAAGACCUUCAGAUUAAUCUUUGAGAAUGUCAAGGCUAAACAUGUUAUGGGUGCAUGAUGUUUCAUAUUUUAGGCGUCAUUUUUUUUCAAAAAAAAUGAGUCUUAUUGGUGAAAACCCUUUUGGGCACCAAAAGGCGACAGUGAAUUGUGAGAUCAAUAAAAAUGAGAGAGUCUUAUUGGUAAAUAUCCUUAUGGGUACCAUAAGGUGACAAUGAGUUGAAAAAAAAAGAAAAUGGGAGUGGCUCGUUGGCACAAACCCAUUGAGGUGCCACUAGCCUAAGGAGAAUUAUGAUUAGUUUGGUAAAAGUUGAUAGUGAUUAGUUUGGGUAGAUCAGGUUGUUAAAUUCAAAAUGCAUGUCAUAAUCACUGGAAUCAACUUUCACAUCCAGAUAAAAUUUUCUUUUGACAUUUUUGAAAAAAACGAGAUGUCUAUUGUCUUGUCCUUUUCUUUUUGUUUCUUUUAUUUUUAUUUUUGAUUUUUGUGUCUUUGUGAUCAAAAUAAAAUCACUAUCAUCAUUUUUCAUGUUUUUUUGAGUCAAAACUUGCUACCAACUCAUUCAGUAGUGCAAAGCAAGACAAAGGGCCGACACAUAAAGAUAAGAUGUUUCAAAAAUAAAGUAAGAUACUCGAGAAUACUUGUCAUCCGAUAGUUUUUGGACUCAUAGAAGUAUAAAAGGUGUAUUUGAAGCUGAAUCCAGAGGCAUUAUGCAAGAGAAAUAUGAUUUGAGUCAAAAAAUUUGAGAGUCAGAUUUGGGAUCGAAAGUAUGACAAGUCAACAAUACCUAUCAAUGAUUUUCAAUGGAGCUGAGCAUCACAAGUGCACAAACGAUCUCCUUAAUAGCCAAAUGCCGCAAAUCAACCACCACAUUUUAAAAAAAAAUUAAACAAAAUUAAAAUUUUUCUUUGUAUGAAACAAAAACACAUGUUACCUUUAAAUCAAGGGAUUCAGAGCCUAAAUAUCAAAAUAUGCAAUUCCUUACUUUUGCAAAUGCAAGAGGCAAUAUUGCUACACAUGUUUAGUAAUCACAAUCAUUGUUAAAACUCGUUAUCCAUUACUCCUAGAAGAUGCACUUUCUAGUUGAGUCAUUUAACCCCUAGGAGACGUAAUUCCUGGUCUGGAUAAUUCAAGAUUUAUUUGUUAGGUAACACACUUCCUAACUUGAACCUUCACUCCUAGAAGACGUACUUUCUAGUCGAGUCAUUUUAUUUAACGCCUAGGAGACGGACUUUCUAGUCAGGGUAUGUCAGUUUGCAUGUGUUAGGUAAUGCACUUCCUAACUUGAACCUUCACUCCUAGAAGACGCACAUUCUAGUCGAGUCAUUUUAUUUAACCCCUAGGAGAUGUAGUUCCUAGUCAGGAUAUGUCAGUUUUCAUGUGUUAGGUAACACAUUUUCUAAAUUGAACCUUCACUCCUAGAAGACGCAUUUUCUAGUUGAGUCUUUUCAUUUAACCCCUAGGAGACGCACUUCCUAGUCAGGGUAUACCAGUUUUCAUGUGUUAGGUAACACACUUCCUAACUUGAACAUUCACUCCUAGAAAACGCACUUUCUAGUCAAUUCAUUUCAUUUAACCCCUAGGAGACGCACUUUCUAGUCAGGGUAUGUCAGUUUUCAUAUGUUAGGUAACACACUUCCAAACUUGAACCUUCACUUCUAUAAGACACACUUUCUAGCUGAGUCAUUUCAUUUAGCCCUUAGGAGACGCAUUUCCUGAUUUGGGUAUUUCAGUUUUCAUUUGUUAAGUGACACACUUCCUAACUUGAACUUUUACUCCUAGAAGGCGCACUUUCUAGUUGAGUAAUUUCAUUUAACCCUUAGAAGACAUACUUUCUUAUUUGGGUAAUUUAAGUUUCAUGUGUUAGAAGACGCAUUUUCUAAUUUGGGUCAUCAAUUUUACUCUAAAGAAAUGCAUUUCUGUAGCAGGAUCUUGAUUCACCCUUUUUACUGUAUUUUUUAAAAGUUGUGAUCGGAUGACACUCACAAAACUUUCUAGCGCAAACUGGGAAAAAAUUUUAUUCGUGUUUAUGGGACAGGACCCUCCUGAAUAAUGAAAAUUUAUUUUUAUGCUCAGGACCCUCCUGAAGAAUGGGACAAGACCCUCCUGAAGAAUGAGAAUUUAUUUUUAUGCUUAGUACCUUCUGAAGAAUGGGACAGGACCCUCUUAAAGAAUGAAAAUUUAUUUUUAUGCUCAGGACCCUCCUGAAGAAUGGGACAGGACCCUCCUGAAGAAUGAGAAUUUAUUUUUAUGCUUAGUACCUUCUGAAGAAUGGGACAGGAACCUCUUAAAGAAUGAAAAUUUAUUUUUAUGCUCAGGACCCUCCUGAAGAAUGGGACAGGACCUUCCUAAAGAAUGGGAAUUUAUUUUAUGCUCAAGACCCUCCUAAAGAAUGAGAAUUUAUUUUAUGCUCUCAGGACUCUCCUGAAGAAUGGGACAGGACCCUCCUGAAGAAUGAGAAUUUAUUUUAUGCUCAGGACCCUCCUGAAGAAUAAAAAUUUAUUUUAUGCUCAGGACCCUCCUGAAGAAUAGGAUAGGACCCUCCUAAAGAAUGAAAAUUUAUUUUAUGCUCAGGACCCUCCUGAAGAAUGGGACAGGACACUCCUGAUGAAUGAGAAUUUAUUUUUUGCUCAGGACCCUCUUAAAGAAUGGGACAGGACACUACUGAAGAAUGGGAAUUUAUUAUGCUCAGGAUCCUCCUGAAGAAUGGGACAGGACCCUUCUGAAGAAUGAGAAUUUAUUUUAUGCUCAGGACCCUCCUGAAGAAUGGGACAGGACCCUCCUGAAGAAUGAAAAUUUAUUUUAUGUUCAGAAUCCUUCUUAAUAAUGGGACAGGACCCUCUUGAAGAAUGGGACAGGACCCUUCUAAAGAAUGAAAAUUUAUUUUUUGCUCCGGACCCUUCUGAAGAAUGGGACAGGACCUUCCUGAAGAAUGGACAGGACCCUCCUGAAGAAUCAAAAUUUAUUUUAUGCUCAAGACCCUCCUGAAGAAUGGAAAUUUAUUUUUUUCUCAAGACUCUCCUGAAGAAUGAGAUGUUAUUUUUCUGUUUCAUAUUUUAUUUUGAGUCCAGGAACAUAUUUGUAAAUCAGGAAAAGCAAGUCAGGAACCCACUUGAAGAAUAGGGUGAAUAAAAAGUAAAUCAGGAGUCCGCCUGAAGAAUAGGGUGAACAUUAUCAGUUGCAAGUUUAGGAGUCCACCUGAAGAAUUGGGUGAAGAUUGUCAAGUUCAAGUCAGGGGAAAGUUUUAAGAAUAAAUCAAUUAUCAAGUUCCUCUCUAAUGCCAGAAGUCAACGAGAAGGAACAUUUCGUGUUUCAAGUUCAACUCAAAUAACAACUAUCUCACCAUUUGAUAAGUCAUGAAGAUUCCAGUCAGGAUUCUAGAAAAGUAGCAUAGAUAGGAUCUUUCACUUGUAUCUUCAUUUUAGUUUUUGCUAUUUUUUGUUAUUCAUUUCAAUGUGAAAGCAGAAAGUCGGAAACCGGAAACUCAAAGGAACCUCACUCGGUCUUAAACUUGUUCUCUCAUCAUUUUACCUUUGAACUACACGUGACAUGAUUCCCUUAUAACCCGGGAUAUAUAGGCGAUCCAAAACCCAGACUCGAUCAUAUCUUUUCUUUUAUUUUAUCUUUAUCCUCAUUUUUUGAAUAAUUGGGGGAUCAAAAAUCAUUUAUUUGUCUACUUCUUUGUAUAAAAACUCUUUGAAAUUUCACACAAAGAGGGGCAAAAUGUAGACAGAUGAUUUUUGACCCUCGCGGAGUUUUAAUUUAUUAUUCAGCAUUAAAUAUUUUCAUUUUUUGUCCAAUAUUCAUUUUUACUCUUGUUUCACUUUUUAAUAAGUUUUAGUGGAAAAUAAAUAAAUAGUUAAAAUUACAUUUUGACAUAUUUUUAUUUUAAUUUGUAUUUUUGUUUUUGUUUUUGUUUUUGUGUGUAAAAUAAUACGAAAUAUUCAAAAAUAUAUUUCUCUUUUAAUUUUAAUAAAUAGUCCAGUAGUUUUAUUAUUAUUUUAAUUAUAUUUAUUUUAAAUUAUUUAUAAACUUUUUAUGUAUUUUUUAAAAUAUAAAAAUUAAUUAAUUAAUUAAUAUUUUUUUAUUAUUAUUAUUUAUUAAAAAAAGAUGAAAAAAAUAAAAAUUGAAUAAUUAUCCUGACCCAACUACCCCACCCUAUCUGUAUCCCAACUUCCCUCUACCUCUUUCCCCCAUCAGUAUAUAACUCCCCAACUUCCCCAAAGACUACGGACUUGGAACAUUAGAAAACAAAAAAGAAGGAACUACGUACUUUUACACAUUAUUUUAACUGUAUCACACAGAACCAGAAGAAAGACAUCAGAAAAAUAGACACUACAUCAGAAAAAGAGAGAGAUAAACUGAGAGAAAAAAAAUCAAUUAGAGAAGAAAAUCAUGGAACACCCCUAAAAAACGGAAGAGAAUCAAGUUUGGCUUCCGUUGAGUUUUCGGUGAAGGCAUCCUUAUUUCUACUUUAGUUAUUCUACCACGCAGGUUUUUAUCCAAUUUUGUACUGAUACUUUUAUAAAUAUUAUUGUGAAUAGAAACAGGAAUAAAAUGUUGUUUGAAACGAUUUAAUUUUAUUUUUUAUUUUUUAUUUAGUAUAUGUUUUGGAUUAUUUAUGUUGGAUCUUGGUUUGAAGUAGUGUUAUUUUUUCAUCCCGUUUAGUACAUCUUAUAAGUAUAUCGUUGUGUUUCUUGGCACUCCAUAUAGUGUUUUGAAACUUAAUCAGUUUUAAUUGAAACUUAAUUAGUUUGGUUGAAUGAUUAAGUGAGUAUGGUGUUUUCUCGGCACUUUACAUAGUGUGUUCUUAAAAUAAUUUUUAUUCAUGAAUUAAGCAUUCUAAAGAUCAUGGAAAAUAAGUAGUAUCUCAAGCAAAACAUUCAUGUAUAGCUUUAGGUAAUUUGAUUUUUAAGAUGUUAGUCUUUAGUGCAUGUUAAUAAUUGAAUAACUGAAGGUUGGUAUUUUAUCUUGUUAAUUACAUCAAAUUUUAUUUGAAUUUAAGUUAGUCCCUACAAGCGUAAUUUGAGAUUAAACUAAAUGAAUCAUUACCCAUAGCAAAAAUGUAAUUUAUUUUUUCGUUAGGUAGAGUAUUUAAGGUUCUUUCUGCAUGAAUUUAUUGCUAAUUUUAAGUUUGGUGCAUACUGUACAUAUGUAUCAGAAAAAAAUGUGUUUUAUGAAUUCAUUAAUGAUGCCACGAUUUAGUAACGUUACUGUUGGAAUUGUUUGAAGAUAUUCCAAAUAUUUUUAUACUCCAAACAUUAAUGAUGCCACGGUUUAGUGCUAAUUUCUGUUGGAAUUGUUUGAAGAUACUCCAAACAUUUUUUUUAUAUUUUAUUUUAUUUAAGUAAGACUUAGCUCAUCAAACGUAUAUUUAACUUUGAUAAAGAUAAUCCGGGCUUCUAAUUGUUUGGACUUCAAUAUUAUUCCAUAAAUUAACUACGCUUAAGGUCUAAAUGAAUUAACUAGAGGGUGUUUAAUUGAGAUGAGUUGUGGAUUUAUUCAAAAUCCAUCGCGGAAAAGAAAAAUAAAAAAGAGGAAAAACUCAUUUGUAAGGGAGCGAGUCGAGUUGCGGAAUAAUCCAAAAUUCAUUGCAAAAUAAAGAGAGAAAAAGAAUAAAAUAGAUAAUGUAAAAUUAUUUCGAAUUUAUAAAAGACGAACGAAUACCUUUUAACGCUAGAUAAGCUUUAGGCAUGUCUAAUAUAUUUGUCUCGACUAAGAAUGCGGCAUAUGCAUCUUUUCGAGAUGUUUAAAAUAAUUCGAGAAUGUGAUAUUGUACCUUGAUAAAGAUAGUCCUAAAAUGAAUUUCCCCUAGCUUAAUACAAGAGGUAUGGACAAACCUUUUUGGUAUAGUAAAAAUGAGCAAAUCAAGACCUUCAAACAUAAUUUAUCAAAUAGUUUAAGUUAAGUAUAAUUUGAUAAAGUGACCGUGCUAAAACCACGGAACUCGAGGGGUUUCUCACACCUUCCUCUUGAUCAACAGAAUUUCUUACUCGGUCUUCCAUUUUUGCAGAUCAAAAUAAAGAGUCAUUUCCUUUUGAUUAGGGAUUCAAUAAGGUGAUUUGGAACACCACAACUCAAUUUCAAAUGGCGACUCAGUAAAUAAAAUAAUCCCUAUUCAAUAUCGUCACUUUAAUUGGAAAAACCCUUCGACUCAACCCUCGAGGAAAAAAGGGGUGUGACACCUACCAAGUGGAAUUUGGGGAGGUAAACCGUAAGUAGUUCAUACCACUACCUCAGAUGAAGUAAAAAAACUGUUUUGAUUGCUUACAAAUAGAAUAUAUCAACCAUAAAUAUCGCACAUACAUAUACCAGUAUUGUUUAUUAAAAGUGAAAAGAGGUACUUUUGAAUUCCUGAUGAGAGAUGAAUUUGGUGUAGGACCUAAAAAGAAAGCAUCUAAAAUGAUUAAUUGAGUUGUAUCAGGCAUAUAAUCAAAUACCGUAGGUGUAUUUUUUGCCCAAUAAUGAUGUAAUAAUGCUAACUUAAUAAGAUAAAUAUUAUAUUACUCAAAGUAUUCGUAAGGCCAAAAAUAAAAAAAGUGGAAGAAAAUAGUUUACUUUCUCGAACCACUAGUCCCAAAAAAAAUCUAAAAGAAUACAUGAUAUAAGUCAAUUCAUUAUUCAAAGUGAACUACAAAUUUGAAAAUUUCACGUGCGCACAACUAGGUCUGGACAGUCGGUGAAAUGGACACUACUUACCAAUUAACCAAGAGAAAUAGAAUACAACAUCAGUGAAAAUUAAAUCAUAGUAUAACUUGUCGUAAGUAUCAUAACUUUGAAGAGGAAAAAUACUAAUUAGAUUUACUUAUUGGAAAAAGUCCGAUUUUGAUCAAUGAAAUGUCCAAAAUUAUAUAUUCAAAAUUUCUAUUUUCAGACAUGCAUGUGCAAACUAGAUAUAAUUAUCAAUAUGAAAACCCAUUUUUUUAAAAAUAAAUCUUCAUUGUAGUUCAAUUUUCAAGAAUUGGACCUAUUGAAAAUCCAGAAAAACCAAAACUAGAAAAAGAAAAAUUUACCAUAACUCAGAAAUACAAUAAAUCGAAAAAAAGUCGAAUCAAUGCAGAGAAAUCUGAAGAAAUUUUGAAAGAAGAAGUAGAGAAGGAGAGAGAAUAAAUUUUAAAAGCAUACGUUGUAUAAUAUAAAAGAAUACAUGGUAUAAUGUAAAAGAAAGAUAUGAAACGUGUUAGCUGCAAAAAUUGACAACCAACAUAUUAGGCCAACUCCAACGUACAAUAUGCAUGAAUGUUGUGUUCAUCCACUCCAAGUCUCACUUCUAAAUAAGGGAUCAUUUGAUAAAGUGUAAAAAAAUAAUAUAAAAUAUGGUGUAUUAGUAAUGGUUGUAUUAGUAAUACUUGUGUUAGCUAUACUUGAUUAGUUAUGUUUGUAUUUUUCUUAUGCAGUGUUUGAUUUGUUAUAUUAAAAAUAAUAUGAAUUACAUAAUUUUUUUUAAAAAUUGUACAUAAUACCCUCAAUAUAUAUGUUAGAAAGGAUACAAAAAAAUUUUCGAGGGAUACUAGUGUCUUUAAGCAUGUUGAUGCAUGCAUUAGAUUCAUUGCAUUACUAAUGCCAUAGAUUUUGAAGUACUAUUAAUACACACCUCAAUACACAAUAGAGUGUAUAACUAAUGCAAGCAUUAGUUAUACAUAGGGUAAAAGGAUAUACCAAAUAAGGUACUAUUAAUACACAUUAAACUAAUGCAUGCAUUAACUUUUCAAUGCACUCUACCAAAUGACCCCUUGUAAUAAUAUGGACAAUACUUGCACUAUAAAUUUAUAAUGCUUAAGUCAUCGACAUGCACUUAAAGUUAUCCCAAAAAUUCACUUAAACCCCUCAACUAAGUCCUGUACCUAUCAGGCCCCUAACCCACCCGAAUUUUGAUCCAAUCAAACCUUUUUUUUCUAAUCUCAUCAAAUCCCAUGCGCGUGUAUCCAAACGCUGCUUAUGUGGAAAGAUAAUCCACUCAGUUGUCUCCAUGUAUAUUGAAUAAACCGCGUAUUACAGGCUAGGGUUAAAUUGUCAAAAGUCCAUUUGGACAGAAAACAUAACCCUACUUUCUCUCUCCCCAACCUUCACUCUCUCUCUUUAAUUUUAGCCCUAAUUUAACCGAAUUUCUUUUCAAAUCGAAGAAGAAAUUUAAGGGUUUUCUCACAUCUUCCUCGUGUAAGUGUUUUUAAGAUUUGUAUUUGUUAAAUUUGGUAAAUUUUAGCAUAGUUUAGCUUUUAGGGUUUUGAAAUUUCACUACUGGGGCUGUGCUUUUAGAAAUAUUUCGUCACUUUUUUCACAUGCCUUAAAGGUUGUAGCUUUUAGCUUGUUGGUGUGUACUUUUGUUAUAGUUCGUUUACUAACUUUGAAUUUUUAUCAUUUAUUGCAGGUGACAUAACAAAUGGAGGUUAUUUUUACAAAAUUUCACCGUGGAGGGCCUUUUUCAAUAUGGUUCUCCCUACAUAUGUUGCAAGUUGUAUGCCAGAACUAAGAUACAUUGACAAGGAUCAAUUUCCUUAAUGGAAUUGUUAUUUUAUACUAAAAAAUUAGGGUAUGAAACUAUUGGGGAUUUUAUUACCAAGAUGCAGUAACUAAAGAGUUCAACUUGAUUAAAACUGACUGGCAUCUCCUUGAACUAGUUAAAGAUUUAAAACAUAAGGACUCUAUUGAUUUUUAUGUCUGUUAUGUUUUAGAUGAAUCAAUUCUAGAUCCUGAUGGUCCCACUGGUUUUUUACCUACACCCGAGGUUGUAGAUAGUGAGAGGGUAUCAGUGGAUAAGGUUAUUGAGGGUGCAGAACUAGAGAGAAAAACUGUUGGUGUUGAUGAUAGUGCUAACAUAGAGAGAGAAUCUUUUGGAGUAGGGGAAUAGAGGGAGGCUAAUGUAGAAGAUGUUAACCUAGAAGAUGUUGACAUAGAGACUGUUAACUUAGGUGAUGAGAGGGAGGCUAAUAUAUAAGAUGUUAACCUAGAAAAUAUUGGUAUAGAAGGAGGUGAUAAGGCUGAUAUAAAAGAUAUCUAUAUUGAAGAUGUUAAUAUAGAAUGUGAUUAUCAGAUUACUUGAGUAGUGAUUCAGAUCUUAGAGAUAUUCUUUCAGAAGAUGCUCAGAUGUUGAUGAGAAGUUGAGGGUUUUUAGACAAGAAAGAAGGAACAACAAAUCCAACAACAAAGAAAGAAACCAAAAAUCAAGAAAAAAGGUUGUAGAAAUUGAAGAAGUACCCGUAGGAGUUGUUGGUUGUGUAUAUAGAGGCUCUGGGGAUAUUGGAAAAAAUAAGGCUACCAAAUAUGUUGAAAAGUUGGGUGGAGAUAAGGAAUAUCUUGAUAGUUCUAACUGUUGGAGUGAAGAUAGUGAAGAGAUAGAUCUAGAUAUUGUUAGAGGAGUAAAUCUACAUAGAAGAAGGAGAAGCAAGAAAAUUAGGUAAGAUGAAAAUUGUGAGUUUGAUGUGUUUGAGCUUGAAAUUAUUUUUGAGGGUGCAAAAUAGUUUAGAAAAGCUAUUGCGGAUCAUGUUGUAGAGUAUAGAAGGCAGUUGAAGUUAAAACCUAAUGAAAAAUAUAAAAUAAGGAUGAAGUGCAUUGUAGCUAAUUGCUACUGGUUGUUGUUUGCUUCUACUGAUAGGUAUUUUUGUGAUUUUAUUAUUAAGAACUAUAAUCCUAUUCACAAGUGUAUUCCUCUAAACAAGAACAAGAUGUGUAAUUCAAAGCUGGUUGCUAGAAAGUUCAAGGACGGAAUUGUUUCUCAGCCAUACAUAAGGAUUUGGGAAAUUCAGGAUUUGAUAAGAGAGGUGCUGAGCCUUUAUGUAGGUAAAACUAUUUGUCAUAGGGCUAAAAAUAUUGUUAUAAGUGAGAAUAUGGGUGAUUGAAAACUGGAAUUUGCCAGAUUAUGUGACUAUGCAGAUAUGAUCAAGAAAACAAAUCUUAGAAGUUCUUGUUGGAUAAAAAUUAACAAAGAAACUGAACCAGGAAAAAACUUCUUUAUUUAUUUCUGUGUGCUUUCAUGCCUUCAAACAAAGAUGGUUAGAUGGGUGUAGAAAAAUUAUUUAUUUUUAUGGAUGCUUUCUCAAAGGAGCUAGUAAGGGUAAGUUGUUGGUUGCUGUGGGAAAAAAUGGGAACAACCAAAUGUAUCCUAUUGCAUGGGUAGUUAUGGAUACUAAAACAAAACAUAGUUGGAACUGGUUCAUAAGGUAUCUGAUUGCUGAUCUAAAUCUGGGAAUUGGUGAAGGCUUGACUAUAAUUUCAGACCAACUAAGGUACCACUACUUAAUUAUUAUUUUUAUUAUUUAACUUUAAUUUUUAAUAAAAUUCCUAUUUUAAUCAUACUUAUACUUAUUACAGGGUCAUGUUCCUGUUUUGAGGGAUCUGUUAUCAAAUGCUGAGAGAAGAAUAUGUGCUAGAUAUAUUUGGAGCAAUUGGUAUGUGCACUGGAGAGGAGAAAAAAGAAGGAAUCAAUUUUGGAGAUUUGCAAAAGCAAGCUUUGAAGUCAAGUUUAGAAAGAAGAUGUAAGCAAUGUCAAGACUAGGUAAGAAGAAAAUAAUUGAGGACAUGUUGGUUAAUCCUCAUUCUUCUUGGCGUAGGGCAUAUUUCAAAACAUAUUCUAAAUGUGAUAUUAUAGAAAAUAACAUGUGUGAGACUUUCAAUUUUUAAAUCUUAGCUGCUAGACAUAAGUCCAUAAUCACAAUGUUAGAUGAUGAAUAGACAUGUAAAUAUGAUCAAAUUUGUAGAAACAUAAAUUUAGACAUUGCUCCUAUGACAAGAACUAUUUUAGAAGAUAACAAGGAAUAUUAAAAUAGGUGUAGAGUACUAUGGGAUGGAUUUAAUGGUUUUGAAAUUGGGGAUGGGGUUUACACAUUUGUUGUUCACUUGGACAAGAAGUAUUGUGAUUGUAGGUUAUUGAUGUUAAGAGGUAUUCCUCCUCCUCAUGCUAUUUGUGCUUAUUAUUACUUGAAUGAAGAUCCUGAUCAAUAUGUAGAGCACUAGUAUAGGAAAGAAACCUUUCUUAAGUCUUAUAAUCAUUUCAUUCAACCAAUUACCAAUAUGAGAAUGUGGCCGAAAACCAUAAACCCAUCAAUUGAACCUCCAAAACCAAGAAAGAUGCUAGACAGACCUGGCAAGAAAAUAAGGAAGAACAAGGAUGGGCCAAAAAAGUGGGGCAAACUCUCAAAAAAAGGUAUCAAGAUGACCUUUUCAAGGUUCAAGCAAUUUGUCCAUAACAAGACUCUGUGUGGAAAAAGAGUAAGCCUUAAAUGAAUUUCAUAAUAGUUAAUAAUUGUUGUAAAGUUAACAUAUUUCUUAACUUUUCAUAUUUCUAUAUGUCUGCUAGAAUAGGAUGGAGAACAGUAAUAGUACUUAGCCUAGCACUUAGCCCGCACCCUCAUGGAGUCCACCACCACCGCAAUCAAGUUCUAUUUAUGGUGGUACCAUUGCAAUGUCAAGAGAUACCUACACUGAAAGUCAAACAGCAAGAGCAAGUUAUAUAUGUUCUGCCUUAAUAUUCUUCUUCUUCUUAUUAUUAUUAUUAGUGAAAAAUGUUGAAAAUAUUGUCUUGCAUUUAUUCACAGUCAAGCUCCAUCUUUCCUACAUAGGUAACUACACAAUCCAGUCAAUGAGAAUCUAUUUGUGCUGACACAACUGCUGUGCCAAGAGCACCUCAAAAGAAAAGUAUCAGGUGUAGAUGGUAGAGGUCAAGGUGCUGCUGGUAGAGGUAAAUAUAGUUCUGGUAAGGGUCAAUAUGGUUCUGGUAGAGUCAAUAUGGUGCUGAUAGGAGAGGUAAAGGAGGAACUGGUAGAGGUCAAGUAGGGACUGGUAGAGGAUUGAAAAAAAAUAGUCAAUGCAAGAGGGACCCUAUUUGAAAGUGGAAGAAAUGUUUCUUCCAGUCAAGUUCCACCUUUGCCAACCAACAAGAGGCCAUACAAUGAUACCUUAUUUGUUGCUGCUAUUGGAUAUAAAAGGCUUACAACUAAUUUUGGUGUUUACUCUGAUACAACAACUGAAACCCAACUGUACAACGUAUUUCUCUCUAUCUCAUUAUUUACUUAUAACAAUGUUUUCAUUCAAGUUUUCGAUGUUCAUUGUCUUACAAUCUUAUCUAAUUUUACAGAUUGGUACAUCAAGUGAGAGAGUUCUUCAUAGAGUUACAAAUUUAAGAAGUGCUUCACCAACUAAUAUAAAUAUUAAUUUUAAACCUCGUGUCCUAAAGUGGAAUGAAAAAGAUGUAGUCACUAGCACACAAUUGCAACAAUAACAACAACAACAACAAACCCAGUGUAUUCCCACAAAGUGGGGUUUGGGGAGGGUAAAGUGUACGUAGUCCAUACCACUACCUCCAAAUAAGUAGAUAUGAUGUUUUCGAUAGACCCCCGGCUCAAGAUAAGGAAUAAUAAACAAAAACGUAAUGAAACAUGAAGCAAGAUGGAUGGCAUCACAUAAAAAGGAUUAAGACAUAAAUAUGAAUCAAAUCAGUAUGAGAUAAGGUAAUCAAGUGCAAUGUGAAAUAAGAGAUAAGAAAUAGGGCAUCUAAAAAACAACACCCACCUAGUAGUAACAGAUACUCAUAGGCCAGAUGCACCCUCCACACCCAAAUCCUCCUAACUAGGAGCUCUUACCUAAGGACAAAGUCCUAGGAUUAGUAACCUGGCUAUACCAGGGCUCUUCUAACUACUAGCUACAGCCCACGUACACAAACUAUCUCAGCUUUCCUUCCUGCAUCUUGUCCUCCACCGAAGCCACUCUUACCUUCUCCCGAAAUAUCUCAUUCCUCAAUUUAUCCUCUCUAGUAAAUCCAUACAUCCAAUACAAUAUUCUCAUUUUUUCCACCUUCAUUCUUUGAAUAUGGGAGUUCUUGACUGGCCACACUCUGCUCUAUAGAGCAUAGCUGGCCGAACUGCCACUAUGUAGGAUUUGCCUUUAAGCUAAAUUGGGACCUGAUUAUCAUACAACACUCCCGAGGCGAGCCUCCACUUCAUCCAACCUGCUCUAAUAUGGUUAGAGACAUCCUCAUCUAUCUCACCAUUCCCCUGAAUCAAAGACCCAAGAUACUUAAAACUAUCUCUCUUUCAAAUAUCCUGGGAAUCCAACCUCACCACCACAUCUUCCUCCUGCCUCAAGUCACUAAACUUACAUUCCAUAUAUUCCAUCUUGGACCUACUCAACCUGAACCCUUUAGAUUCAAGGGUUUGCCUCCAAACCUCUAAUUUUUCAUUCAUGUCCCUCGCGUCUCAUCAAUCAACCCUGUAUCAUCCGCAAAUAGCAUACACCAAGUUACCUCUCCUUGAAUACUUCGUGUCAACAUGUCUAACACAAACACAAAUAGAAAAGGACUAAGAGUCAAACCCUAAUGCAACCUUGUCUCGACUGAAAAAUGCUCUGAGUCCCUCCCCACCGUUCGUACCUGAGUCUUUCCUCCAUCGUACAUGUCCUUAAUAACUCUAAUGUACACCACCGGAACCCUUUUUACCUCUAAGCAUCUCCAAAGAACCUCCCUAGGGACUUUGUCAUACUCCUUCUCCAAGUCAAUGAACACUAUGUGCAAAUUCCUCUUUCUUUUCCUAUACUGUUCCACUAAUCUCCUUACCAGGUGGAUUGCCUUUGUCUUUGAAUGACCAGGCAUAAAACCAAACUGAUUCUCUGAAAUAGACACGAGUUUUCUCAAUCUCUGCUCAACCUCCCUCUCCCAAAUCUUUAUAGUAUUGCUCAAUAGUAGAUGCAUCCAAGUCUUUUUCAUCAGUUGGAUCUUCUAAGAAGUAGUUCAUUUAGAAAUGAUUUGUAUGCAGGAUACUGUAAUAAGGGUUAUACAAUCCUUUUGAAAAAAUUGUGUUACUAGUUUUUGAACAACUUUUUCUUAGGCAGCAGUUAAUGACUUUGAGGUAUGCUGUAGUAGUACUAUUAUGCUCAAUGCUGAGUUUUUUUUGAACACCUUAUUUAGUGAUUAUGCUCUUUUUAGCUCAACUUUGAGAAGUUUUAAUAUGAUAUGCUGCUUCUUGCACUUUUUAGCUCAACUUUGAGUAGUUUUAAUAUGAUGUGCUAUUUCUAAUAUUUUAGUUCAGUUUUUAACAAUACCUUCGGUAAUUACAAAUAGGCUAUAUGGUUAUGCUUAGUUGAGUGGACAAAACAUGUCAAUUUAUUCACAUUAAACAUAUCAAAAUGAUAUAAACUAAUCAAACAACUACUACAAACUAACCACUACAAAUACAUUACAAACUAACCACUACAAUAUCCAAUUGUCUAUUCAAUAGGAAAACUUAACUACUACGUUACACCAUAUUAAAGACCCACUUUACAGUAAGAACAAUGAGAAGAAGCAGAACAAGUCUAUUCAAUUUGAGCUUAGUAGAUUUCCUUAUAAAUUUAACUUUUUUGAGUUUUUACCUCAAUGCAAUCAACUUUUCUUCACUAUCUUUCAAUUUCUCACACAAAGUGUCCCUCUCUUGUUCAAGGUCUUUGAGCUUUUGCUUCAGUCGAUCACAUUAAUUUUUACCAUCUUUGCACCUAAUCAUUAAGCUCUAUUCUACCUCAGGAUAUUGAUGCACAGAAAUUAAAGGUUUUGGAUCAAUCUAUCUAAAGUAGUCAUAUCCACCAUUUUCCUAAAAUACAAAAAUAGUAAAAUUAUCAAAAAAAUUACCAAAAAAAUAAAAUUAAAAUUUGUGAAAAUAUUACAAACCUUUGGAACUUUACAUCCAAAAAAUCUACCACCUGGAUUUGAUGGAGUCCUUGAAGUUCUUAAAGGAAAAAAUUUGGAACAGUAACACAAAUCGAAUAACUCAACAUUAACUGAAUUUUUCGAUAUUCUCAUCUAAAAUAAGAGAAAAAAUAAUUUAAGAGAAAUUAUGAGAUAAAUUUGAGAGUGAUAUGAGAGAAAUUAUGAGAUAAAUGUGCUAUGGAGGAGAGGAAUGUAAGAAAAUGAGGAAAUUAGGUUAAAUAAAGAGAGAAAGAAAAGGCGAUGGCAAAGUAACGUUAACUUUUGCCACAUGGACUGCAUUUCAGGGUUCACGCGCCCUCAGUGACUAGAUAGCACGUGGAGUGCCAUGUAGGCAAAAAAGACCUGAUUGGAUCAAAAUUUAGGUGGGUCAGGGGCUUGAUAGGUUCAGGCCUUAGUUGAGAGAUUUAAGUGAAUUUCGAGACAACUUAAAGUGUCAAUCGAUGACUUAAGCCAAUUUAUUACCUUGCAGCAUUAAUAGGCGAACUAAAAGAUUCUAAUUUCAUGUAUGAUCACAGAAAUAUCAUUUAUUAACACAAAAGUCACUUGACUAUCUUUAUUAACACAAAAGUCAUUGACUAUCUUUUUAAUCAUAAUACUUUCUCUAUUUCAAAAUGUUGACCCUCUUUCUAAAGAGAUUUGUUUCAAUUUAGGACCUAUUUGGUCAUAAAAAUAAAAAAUGUUUUCACUUUAUUUGGUAAUUUUGAAGUUGAAAAUAGAGUUGGAGUUGUGUCAGGCUAAAGUAUUUUUAAAAAUAUUUUAGACUUUUAAUGUACUUUUUCAUAAAUAUGAUUUAUAGCCUCAAUUUCUAAAAACUAACAAAAUAACCAAAUUAACAUUUACAACUCCACUAUAAGACAAAAAGUAAACAACAUUGCUAUUGAACAUUUAGAACAACCACAUGAAGCCAUGUUUCUGUCUCCCAUAACCAAGAAAUGGCACACAUGUAAAUGAGAUCAAAAAUUGAAAAACUGAAACUUAUACAUACAACAACAACAACAAACCCAGUGUAUUCCCACCUAGUGGGGUCUGGGGGGGGGGUAAGAUGUACGCAGUCCAUACCUCUACCUCUGAUGAAGUAGAAAGGUUGUUUCCAAUAGACCCCCGGCUCAAGAAACUUAUACACACACAUGUAUGUAAAUGACAUGCAUUUACAUACAUACGUAAAUGGUAAACAAAAACAAGCAAACUAAAAUCAAGAAAUAGUUAUUCAAUUCGAUGAUUCAAAAUUCAAAAUUUUGCAACUCCAAAAAAAUCAUUAUCACAACAAAUACCUGAAAAUUUUAUCAAGAUUCAGAAUUGUAAGGGAGUGUGGAUAGUGCAGAUAACUCGGGUAAUUUGCAUGGUUAGUUAAUAUUAAAUUCUUUUUCAUGACUAUUUUUAAUAAUUUUAUUCUUUCCAUAUCUAUUCUUCAAGCUCUUAAGUAUUCAUAGUCUAUCAUUUUAUCCUAUAGUAGUUGUAAUUUUAUAAAUUUCUGUGUAAUAAUAUAUUCUGAUUGUGCUAUAUUUGAUAUGUAAUCCUAUGUUAUCUAUGUGAUCAAUUAAAAUUUGUUGUUCAUGUAUAGAUAAUUUUUCAUAUGGAUUAUGUAAACUAUCAUUUGUACCUCUUUUUUCUAAGGUUAACUUUAUUUCAAGUAAUCUUUCUUCUAAUUGUCUUCUUUCUCUUCUAAGCUGAUUUCUGUAAUUAAUUUCUUCAUAUAGCCAACUUUGUCUUUCUCUAAUUCUUCUAAUAUAUUCUAAUAUUUUUUAAUCUAUAUAAUAUCCAUCUGAAUAGUAAUUAUCUAAGUAUGAAUAGUAGCUAUCGUCAUUUAAGUGUAUUUGUUCUAAUUCAUCUUCUAUCCAAUUUUCUAAUUCUUCAUCUUCAAUAUCAAAUAUCUUUCCCAUAUAAUUUUCUUUAUAUCUACUAUCUCUAUAUCCUUAAGUACAUAUAAAACAAGUAUCUUAAAUUCAUCUAUCAUUUCAUCAGGUAAGUAAGUAUUCAUUUUUCAUAUGAUGUUAUUUUUCAAAAUAAUCCCUCCAAUCAUAUACAUAAAAAAAUAUGAUCAUGUUAGAUCACUAUAUACUAGAUUAUUCUUAAAUAACAUGUUCUUUAGUCACUAUUAGCAUGGUAAUCUGAAUACUUUUCCUCUAAACAACACCUCUACUCUGGUUACUUACCUAUCACGGCUUCUUUGCCUUACUGAUUUCACCUUUAGGAUGGCAUAGUUCCAGGAAUUUUUCUCCUUUUUCUCUUUGCGAAUAAACUUUGAAACAUAUUAUUCCUCGAAUAAUUCUACUAUAAAGUAACUAACAUGAGCUUAUUUUAUUAUACUUAUGAUUGUCAGAAAUUUAUGAAUUUAGCUAUUUAUAAUAGUAAAUGAAUAUACCUGUUCUUGUGGCUUUGAUAAUUCUGUACUUUGCUCAUCCAUAGCUUAGUGUAAAACUGAAUAUCUUAAUUGAUUAUAUGAGAGAAUUUUUGUUGUAUACAAGAAGGCUUGCUUUCCGUGUAGAAAGUCUUGCCUUAACUUAGCAAAUGCCUUUUCUAUUUAUAACCUAAAAAAGAGAAAAUGCGUAUACUAUUCUAAACUGUUCCUACUUUAUAUUUGUCAUUUUUACAAAAGUAGAAAAAACUAAAGUAACUUUACAAAAAGUCCUAAAGCUAUCCUACAAAAAAGACAAAAUUAAUAAUGGCACUUGGCCAAAGAAAAGUCAAAAAGCUAAUAAAUGCUAUAUAAUAAUUUACGUAUUCAAAGACAAGAAAAGUUAUCUAAUAAUUCGUGUGUCAUUUUCAUAACUUUAACAUCUUGUCUUUUUGUCUUCUUCUUCUUCAUUGUUUCGUUGCUUUCUAUUUUUUGUCUAUCUUCCAACUGGUGUCCUUAUCUUCUUUUAUUCUAGUUGAACUUCUGGAAUAAUGUUAUCUUCUUCGUUACAUCUCGAACAUAGAUGGUCUGGAUAUUUAUGCCCUAUUAAUUUACAGUAUCUGGUCAAUAAUUCAUCUGAAAUAAAUUUUUUCUUAAUUGCUCUGGUAAUUAGUCAUUUCUCUGGAUUAAGUAGUGUCAUAAUCCAUCUCUGAACUUUCUCCAUAUCUUCUUGUCUUAACUCUCUUGAAUUUGAAUAGGUCAUUAGCUGGUCUCUUGAAUAAUAACUCCGUAUUGGAUUUCCGUUUAGGUAGUUAUUUGUUAAUUCUUGGAUAAUUGUAGAUAUUCCAAUAUUUAUUUUAUUCGCAUAAAAAUCAGGUAUUUCUAUUUUGGGUAUUUCAACUUGCUAUUCAAUAUCUUCAGGUAUGAUCAUAUCUUAAGUCAUUCCUAUCUUCACAACUUGUAUAACUAGUUUAAUUUCAUCAUACAAUAUCUCUGCUGGUGCUGUAUAGAACUUUACAAAAAAUAGGUUGCCCUUGGUUAUCUUUCUGUAAGUGGUAAUUUCUUUAUAUAUUUCUGGUAUAGUAGAUAAUUCACUUCCAUCUUGGGUAUAUACAAUAUUGAGUAGUCCAUAACAGAAAUAGGUUUUAACUAGAUUUGGGUUAGUUUUUGGUAAUGCAAUUAACUUAUUGUAUUCUUGUAGUUUUUGGGUUAUAUAAUCUGAAUUUGGUUCUUGAAUGCUUAUAGCUCUGGGUUCAAGGUUUAAAGUAAGUUUGUAUCUUGUGGAUGUUUUCAAUAUAUGAUUUGGUUAUGUGGUUAUAAGAUUUUUUGUCUUGGUGUAGGCUAUCUAAAUAUGUAAUAGUUUGCGGGGGUAUAAACAAAGGGUCUUUUGGUGUUUUUGGUAUAAAUGGCUUGUCAAAUAUUUUGUUCAUGUUCAUAUUUAGGUUUCUUCUAACUCCUUUGCUUCUACCUGCAAAAGUAUUUUGAUAAACGUUAUGGGUUUUUUGGAGUGUCCCAACGUCUCCUUUUAUCUCUGGAAUUUUAUUGUCUUUCGAUCGAUAUUUCUCUGCACAUUGCUGAGUUAUCUGAGUCAUAGCUUUAGACUUCAGUUUAACUUCAUUAGUCUUUAGCUUUUCUAUCUCAUUUCCCAUACUAUCCACUUUCAUUGAAAGCGUAGUUAGGGUUUUGAGUAUUUCUUCUAGAGUAUCAUCUUCUGUAAUAUCAGUUUGGGUAGCUUUGUCUUGAUAUGUAAUCUGCAAUGUCAUUCUUGUUAGUCUUAAUUACUUCAAUUGUAAAUGUAAAAUUUAAUAUAUUCAAUAUAAUCUCCGAAUUUCCUUCGUUGUAACUGAAUUUUGUAUUUUUGUUGUUAACCACCACCGUACUGGUGUAUUAUCUGUUCAUACAAUAAACUUAUUAUAUACAAUAUAUGGCUCAAAUGCUAAUAACAUUUAUAUAAUGAGCAUAAUUCUUUUCUAUUUAUUUCCCAUUUUAUUUCUGUUUUAUUAAACGUUCCUCAGUAGUAUCUACAAUGAUGUUCUAAUUNNNNNNNNNNNNNNNNNNNNNNNNNNNNNNNNNNNNNNNNNNNNNNNNNNNNNNNNNNNNNNNNNNNNNNNNNNNNNNNNNNNNNNNNNNNNNNNNNNNNNNNNNNNNNNNNNNNNUCUUUACAAAGUAUUUUUAUUUUCUGUACUUGUUUUUUAUCUUUUUCGUUGUGAUUAUAUUUUACAUCCUUUCUUAAUUUUUUUCUGUAAUGGCUUUAGGUUUUCUGCUAAUUUUGGUAUAUAUUCUCUUACUUGGUUUACUAAUCUUAAAAAUAAUUGUAGUUUUUUUUUUGUAUCUAAUUCUUCUUUUGAAUUUAUUAUUUUUUGUACUAUAUGUUGUUGCAUUUUUACUCCACUUUUAUCUAUUUGUAUUCCUAAAAAUUCUACCUGAUUUUUUAUUAUUUUUUCUUUCUUUUCACUUAGACUUAUUCUUGAGUGUUCUAUUAUACCUGUAAAUUGUUCUAAUAAUUUUAAAUGUUCCUCUUUAGUUUUUGUAUAUAGUAGUAUAUCAUCUAUGUAUACUAUACAAUUAGGUAAUUAUUUGAAAUAACUAUCCAUAAAGUGUUGGUAUCUACCUGGUGCAUUUUUAUAUCCAAAUGGUAAUACGUUUCAUUCAUAAAAUCCUUGUAGUACCGUAAAUGUGGUUAAUUCCUUAGAAUUUUCAUCUAAUUUUAAGUGGUAAAAUCCUGAUUUACAAUCAAAUUUACUAAAGUAGUUAUAUCCUUGUAUUUGUCUUAUUUAAUAUCUUAUUUGGUAUUAGAUAAUUAUAUGUCACAAUUUUUGCAUUUAGGUUUCUAUAAUCAAUAACCAUUCUACUUUUUCCUUUUUUUGUUCACUGUGUUUAUUUACUAUGAAUACGGGGCUAGUGUGUUUACUAUUACCUUUUUGUGUAUAUUAUUUUUCUAAUAAUUCAUCUAUAUGCAUUUUAAAUUCUUUUAAAUCAUCAAAGUUAUAUGUUAAUGGUUUUUGGGUUAUUAUACUAUUUUUAUCUAUUAGCUCAAUUCUUACAGCAGUCUUAUGUUUUUCCCAUCCUUUUAAUGGAUCUUCACUGUAUAUUUGUCUUAAUUUUUUCUUUAUUAUUUCUACCUUAUCUAUUGAAAAUAUAGUUAUUUCUUCUUUAUUUAUUGAAAAUAUAACUAGUUCUAUUGUGUCUUCAGUACUUUUUAUAUUUUCUAGUUUUUGUGUGAUUUUUUUCACUUCCUUUUAUCCAAUCAACUUUCUUUCUUAUUUUAUUAAUAACUCUUUUUGCUCUUACCCUUUAGUUACAUGGUGAUGUAAACCACCAGUGUGUUUUAGUUAUUAUAUGUGGGUGUUGUUUAUCUAAAAAUGGCAUUCCUAAAAGCAUAUCUUUCGAUGUUAGUUCAUAAUUAUAGAUCUCUUCUAUUGUUAAUAUCUUAUCCCAUACUUGUAUUUUUAUAUUUCUAGCUUUAUAGGUAAUUAAGC